rnacentral:lncRNA from 1 species
CCUUUUUCUAAUAUCUGUACCUGUUCACUGCAUAAUAUAAUAAAAUACAUGCGAAAACUGGCUAACACUUGCCAUAAGGUUCAAACAUCUAGAAAUAUACAAUACCUUAAACCGCACACUAAUACAUCUGUCUGAAAAACCUCUACACUGCCUGAACUGUGGAGUUGAAGGAACAAUUCCCCCAACUAACUCCGUCUAUUAAAAUCAAAUACUGUAAUAACAACAUCCUCGGAUGAUGAGGACUCACUGUUGCACCCACUGCUGCUAUACAAGUGACUUCUAAGAUGCUCCAAGUUUUACUCCUCUGAACCUAUGGUGCCCCAAAAUAAAAGAACACCAUAGCGCGAAUGCGUUAGUACUAAGAUGUACUGAGUAUGCAAGAAGGGAAGGCUAAAUGCAAGUGCUUAUGCAUGAACAUUUAAUCAACAGAAUAAUCAUGAGAAUAAUGAACGAGUACACAUAUAUGAAUACACAGUUCACAACCACUGUAACAAUUAUAACAACUCCAAAUACCACAACUCGGAUACCACUUUACUAUCCUCGGAACUCACUACUGUACUAGGGUACACAUGGCUUGAAUUUCAUUAUCCAUACUUCUCAUAAUAUUAUAGAGAGGAAAACAUAAGUAAAAUCCCAUAAAUCAUCAUAAAAUCAUCAAUAUUCAUCAUAAAUUCUCAUGACUCAUCAUAGACAACCAAACUCAUCAACUCAAGAAUCAAAGCGACUCGAUAGUUCAAGAAACAUACUCUUAUGGACAGGGGAGUUUCUUAUAACCGACAAUCCCACGUGAGCCACGUGGAAUACCAACGUUUGCCCUCCUAGGGAGCGCACACCCAUUGGCGGGAGUGUUGUACUCUUGCCAGGGAGUACAACCUUAAAGCUUUCAUAAUCACAAUUCGGCUCUCUGGCCAACAAUAUUAUCAUCAACAACCCUACGGUGGCACAUAGGUUUGGAAAAAUACCAAAUUUACCUCUCGGUGCUAAGUAAUACUUCCCGACUAGCUCAAAACGCGUUAGGAAAUCCACCACAACAUCACAAGGGUCUAUCAUAAAGACUAAAUCAAAUCUCUUUCUCAUUUAUCAAAUCAUAUCAAUUUGUGGAUUCCUAACUCAACACAUUUUAGCUCAAAACAUUAUAAUUUUCCUCAACAUCAACAUGGUAUCAAUAACAAAGUAUUUCGUCUCGGCGAGCUUAAAAUCAAUAUAAAUCAUCCCGACUCUGCGGAUGCAAAUCAAUAUUCUCAAAUGAUUAUUCUUUCAUUUCAAUAUUCAAAUCAUGACAAUAGCUUUUGAAAAGUAUUUAAGAUCUUCAAAUCAUGGUAAGAUUUUGUAUGUCGUAAUGUAACUCAAAUCAUGGCUCUUAUAUCAAGAAUCCUCAAAAAAAUAAUUUCAUAGUAGUGGUAUGCAAUUGAUGACAUAAAAUCUCAUUUCAAGAAAAUAAGAUAAUAAGGUUAUUAUGUAUACCAAUAUUGGACGAUUCAAAGUUACAUAAAUCAUAUCUUGAAAACACUUGAAAUAUCAACUUAUGGUAGAAAUAUGAAAAUCACCAUAUCAAAUCAUAACUUGGGAAUAAUAAAGUAAUCAUGUACAUCAAAGCUUAAACAAUUUAUAUUUUUCAUAACCUCAUAACUCGUCACUAAAAUAUCUUGGGUAUUUAUCCACUUUACAAAAUCAUGAAAUUUCAAUGAUAAAAUCAAUUCUUUGGGCACAAGAAUGAAAAAUAUAUUCUUGUUCAGAGCCCAACAUACUAAGUUCUCACAGAAUUCAUGUUAAGUUCUCAAAUCAUCGGAGAUUCCUCAAUCGUAGCGCGACUAAGAUUAUCGCUGAACUGACUCAGCUCUAGACCAGCAGACUAUUUCGGGCAUACGUACCCCCAGCAAUCAAUAACAUAAGUAAUACAUAGUAUACAACAUGCAUACUCACAUGCCCAUAGGCCAUCAUGCACCAUGCAUUCAUUAACACCUCACACCAAUCAUUUGAAGAUCAUAUUCAUAUACAAGUAUUGGGAUCUCAUGUCAUUACAUCGUAGAUCAUUCAACAAGGAUGCAUAUGGUUAAGGAAAUAUACAACAUAACAUAGUUCAUCCAAUCGGGAUACACACAAAUAACAUACAUUCAACACAUCAUGGUUCACUUCUCAAGGUUCUUUUCUUUAAGAUCUUGUAUAUGCAAUUCGACCCAUAAUUAGACAUUUCACACUUAGCGUGGCCUAAUGGCCUUACCAUUUCCCUCAAGCAUCAUAGUAAACACGUAGCAUGCAAGUAUGGUAUGAACUCAUCACUUCGAUCACAAAGGGUCAUGCGAUCCAUUCUUCUUCAACUAGGCAUUUCUACAAUUACCUUGCAUGCACCAUUUAGGCAUAGGUCAGUAUGAACAAUUACAUGUGCUACAACACCAUCAUUCAUCUUAAUUCCACCAACUAAAUCCCUCGUCCGCAUUUACAACCAUAUUAUAAGCCUUCCACACAACAUCCCCUAUUUUAGACAAUGACAUGGAGUUCAUGUUGAACGUAUACAUAGAAAGUAGUCUAGUUAUUUAAAACUUAUUAUAUCCUAAGAAUGUAAAUUUAUAGCCUCUUAGACAAUUCCACAAACACCUUACACGCACUUUUAAGCAUUGGUGAAUUCGUCAAGUUCUCAUGCUUUCCGCCACCCCAUAUAUCUCAUCCAACACACAUAAUCAUCACAUGCAUAUAUCAACCAACAUACACCAUCAGCACAUAUAUAUAUAUAUAUCAGCCAACAUGCUUAAUCAUCAUAUAUAUAUAUAUAGUAACAUACAUAAUCGUCAUAUAUAUCUCAACCAUCAAAUAUCAAUCAACAUAUAUAUAUACACAUCAUCAAAGUCUAGAAUAUAUAUAUAUAUAUAUAUAUAUAUACACAUAAUUUGAACUUUCAAAAAGGGAUUCGUGGACUCUAUGGACGAAAGAGUCCAUAGAUAAACACUUACAUACCUUAGAUUUUGUGGCCAGAAGAGAUUGACGGAAGGAAUUCUUGAAUCAGAGCCUCCAAUUAAUUUCCCCAAUUCAAAACCCUAACCCUAACUUGAUAUAUAUAUAUAUACAUACAUAUAAGAGAAAUGAGAGGAAAAUAAUACAAGUUCUCAGCUGAAUGGGGUAUUUAUAGAGGUUUAAAAGAGUGGUGAAAGACCAAAAUGCCCCUAAGAAAUAAAUAAAACCCGAAUCUGUCCUUCAGUGAUCUAUCCGAUAGGCUAAAGUAAAUUGACCAUAAAUUUUUACUCCCAUGUCCAAAUUGGAUGAAACCAAUUUUAUUGGAAAGAAGACUCUCAGAAAUUUCAGUUGAUAUAUAGCAGCUUACACAGUUUAUUAUGUACAAGGAGUUAUGAUCGUUUGAAGUUGACCAAAAAAAAUUGCCUGGCUGCAGUAUUUUUUUUCCCUGCACAUUUUACUGUCCACAGUUCGAUCGGAAUGGUCGUAGUUUGAUCGGAAUGGUCGUAAUUCAUCGCUCGAGUGUCUAUUUUGGGUGAUCCACAUAUCGUUGGAAAUCUUAUUCGAUGAUCUACGAAAUGGUGGGUUGAAAUUCAAGAAAUGACACACAGAAAAAUUAUAAAUCAUUCUCGAAGAUAGGAUCUAAUACAUUUACGGACAAAAUUUUGAAAAAAAAAAUUUUGGGGUAUUACAUCAUCUCCCCCUUGGAAACAUUCGUCCUCGAAUGUGAAGGCUAGAUCAAGAACACUAAUCGACUAGGUUUAUUCAAGACAGCAACACAUCUCAGAACAUAACCACACGAAUGAAGCAACCAAUACUCUGCGUACGUUCACUAGUCAUGCACAUCUAUCGCAUAAAACAUUCAACAACCCACUCAUGGGUAAAUUUUCACAACACACAUGCAUCUCAAAUGCACAGAAUCAUAACCCAACCAAUCUCUUUAAUACAUGUUCAAACAUGCCCACAAUUCGAGUUCCUUUCUAUUGAACGUGCAUAUUAAAUACGAAUAUAACUAAUAUACUAAAUUCUCGUAAGCAUAACUAUAAAUGCAACGAACGAUGAGGUUAACAUCAUAGAAAGAGCAUGGACAUGCAAUUAUUAUAACAUUAUGGUGUAUCUCCCCCUUGGGACCCAAGGUCCCUCUAGACAUAUUUCACUGAAAUAAGAAUGGGCCGGGAAUUGUCUCCCUUUACUGCUUUUCCAUACCUUCUGGCACCACUACCAGAUGCUGAGGGCCUGACUUGUCACUUUCUCUAUCAUCCUCCUCUCAACUUUAAGUCAUCGUUAGCUACUUUUGAACACUUGGCUAAACCCCGAAAUGAACUAUAACCAAUGUACUCUAGAGUCUGAGGCGCAACGGUGCACAAAAUGAUAACUUAAUUCAUCCAGAAAGACUACACCUGAAAACAUAAAUUCAAUACCAAUGCUACUUCUUGGAAUACAACUCUUAUCUUUCCUUACUCUCUACAAUCAUCAUCGUAUACAUACACUCUUUUCAAUACCUACUUAUCUGACUAAACACAUUAUCUGCUUCGAUUUCUUCAUAGGCUACUAAUACCACACUCACAUCUUAAUACUUAGUUUGGAGUCCACAAACUUACAUUCUUCGAAGAUUCAAGCUUAGCUUCUAAAACAUAACAUGAAUAUCCACAAAUCUUUAAUAAACAUACUGUUCUCAUUCUAGCCUUCAAAUAUCACAUCUCUUAAACUUAUACUUCUCCACACUAUGAGAAUCGCAGCUAAAUCUCUAUCAAUCCACACAAAUAAUUCAUAACUUCCACACUUAGAUUCUUACAUAUAUAAUUUCAAGCCUAUUCAUUCACCAUAUAAACAGGUAACCCCAUAAGGCAUACUCUGCUCACUUUAGAGAACACUAUCCCGAAACUAUCUGCGGGGACCGUUAGAGAAAGUUCUAUCUAAAAGACUUUGGCUUCACUACAUCUGUUACCUUAAGAGUAAGGUAAAUCUGACAUAAGUAUAUCAUUACAAGAGUCUACAUAACUCUCUUAGAAAAUCCUGCUAUAGCACGAUCUGGAUCAUGAACGAACGAAAACUCUUCUAAACAUUCCAUAGCCUCCUGUACAUGAAUGUGGCGCGCAACAAACUCUUGUACAAGACUCUACUAGAUGCGGCUUUUCAGACUCCCUAGGACACUGUUGAACCUUAGGCUCUGAUAACAAGUUUGUAACGCCCCGAUUCCCGAGAAUUGGAAUGCCACAUGAUGCUUAUGAUCCUGAAGGACCACAAGCUAACCCUUUUUCUAAUAUCUGUACCUGUUCACUGCAUAAUAUAAUAAAAUACAUGCAAAAACUAGCUAACACUUUUCAUAAGGUUCAAACCUCUGGAAAUAUACAAUACCUUAAACCACACACUAAUACAUCUGUCUGAAAAGCCUCUACACUGCCUGAACUGUGGAGUUCAAGGGACAAUUCCCCCAACUAACUUCGUCUACUAAAAUAAAAAACGGUAAUAACAACAUCCUCGGAUGAUAAGGACUCACUGCUGCACCCACUGCUGCUAUACAAGUGACUUCUAAGAUGCUCCAAGGUUCACUCCUCUGAACCUAUGAUGCCCCAAAAUAAAAGAACACCAUAGCGUGAAUGCGUCAGUACUAAGAUGUACUGAGUAUGCCAGAAGGAAAGGCUAAAUACAAGGGCUUGUGCAUGAACAUUUAAGCAAUAGAAUAAUCAUGAGAAUAACGAACGAGUACACAUAUAUGAAUGCACAGUUCACAACCACUAUAACAAUUAUAACAACUCCAAAUACCACAACUCGGAUACCACUUUACUAUCCUCGGAACUCACUACUGUACUGGGGUACUGCAUUACUGAAUUACAGGAUACCAACACUGAUCAAUCGAAUACACUCACACCCCUGACUCCUGAAGAUUUAUACUGACACAGAAACCAUGGGAAGUAGUUAACUAACUCACCAUGACUCCUCAUAAGCAACUGAAUAUGUGGGGGUGCACGCAAUAAUUUGAAUAAUAUCUUUGAUUUCGUAAAACAUGUGCAUAGAAAAUGAAGACUCACAUGGCUUGAAUUUCAUUAUCCAUACUUAUCAUAAUAUUAUAGAGAGGAAAACAUAAGUAAAAUCCCAUAAAUCAUCAUAAAAUCAUCAAUAUUCAUCAUAAAUUCUCAUGACUCAUCAUAGACAACCAAACUCAUCAACUCAAGACUCGGAGCGACUCGAUAGUUCAAGAAACAUACUCUUAUGGACAGGGAUAAUCAUGAGAAUAACGAACGAGUACACAUAUAUGAAUGCAUAAUUCACAACCACUAUAAGAAUUAUAACGACUCUAGAUACCAUAGCUCGGAUACCACUUUACUUUCCUUGAAACUCACUACUGUACUGGGGUACUGCAUUACUGAAUUACAGGAUACCAACACUGAUCAAUCGAAUACACUCACACCCCUGACUCCUGAAGAUUUAUACUGACACAGAAACCAUGGGAAGUAGUUAACUAACUCACCAUGACUCCUCAUAAGCAACUGAAUAUGUGGGGGUGCACGCAAUAAUUUGAAUAAUAUCUUUGAUUUCGUAAAACAUGUGCAUAGAAAAUGAAGACUCACAUGGCUUGAAUUUCAUUAUCCAUACUUAUCAUAAUAUUAUAGAGAGGAAAACAUAAGUAAAAUCCCAUAAAUCAUCAUAAAAUCAUCAAUAUUCAUCAUAAAUUCUCAUGACUCAUCAUAGACAACCAAACUCAUCAACUCAAGAAUCAGAGCGACUCGAUAGUUCAAGAAACAUACUUUUAUGGACAGGGGAGUUUCCUAUAACCGACAACCCCACGUGAGCCGCGUGGAAUACCAACGUUUGUCCUCUUAGGGAGAGCACUCCUAUUGGCGGGAGUGUUGUACUCUUGCUAGGGAGUACAACCUUAAAGCUUUCAUAAUCAUAAUUCAGCUCUCUGGCCAAUAAUAUCAUCAUCAACAACCCUACGGUGGUACAUAGGUUUGGGGAAAUACCAAAUUUACCUCUCGGUGCUAAGUAAUACUCCCCGACUAGCUAAGAACGCGUUAGGAAAUCCACCACAACAUCACAAGGGUCUAUCAUAAAGACUAAAUCAAAUCUCUUUCUCAUUUAUCAAAUCAUAUCAAUUUGUGGAUUCCUAACUCAACACAUUUUAGCUCAAAACAUUUUAAUUUUCCUCAACAUCAACAUGGUAUNNNNNNNNNNNNNNNNNNNNNNNNNNNNNNNNNNNNNNNNNNNNNNNNNNNNNNNNNNNNNNNNNNNNNNNNNNNNNNNNNNNNNNNNNNNNNNNNNNNNNNNNNNNNNNNNNNNNNNNNNNNNNNNNNNNNNNNNNNNNNNNNNNNNNNNNNNNNNNNNNNNNNNNNNNNNNNNNNNNNNNNNNNNNNNNNNNNNNNNNNNNNNNNNNNNNNNNNNNNNNNNNNNNNNNNNNNNNNNNNNNNNNNNNNNNNNNNNNNNNNNNNNNNNNNNNNNNNNNNNNNNNNNNNNNNNNNNNNNNNNNNNNNNNNNNNNNNNNNNNNNNNNNNNNNNNNNNNNNNNNNNNNNNNNNNNNNNNNNNNNNNNNNNNNNNNNNNNNNNNNNNNNNNNNNNNNNNNNNNNNNNNNNNNNNNNNNNNNNNNNNNNNNNNNNNNNNNNNNNNNNNNNNNNNNNNNNNNNNNNNNNNNNNNNNNNNNNNNNNNUACAACAUAACAUAGUUCAUCCAAUCGGGAUACACACAAAUAACAUACAUUCAACACAUCAUGGUUCACUUCUCAAGGUUCUUUCCUUUAAGAUCUUGAUAUAUGCAAUUCGACCCAUAAUUAGACAUUUCACACUUAGCGUGGUCUAAUGGCCUUACCAUUUCCCUCAAGCAUCAUAGUAAACACGUAGCAUGCAAGUAUGGUAUGAACUCAUCACUUCGAUCAUAAGGGGUCAUACGAUCCAUUCUUCUUCGACUAGGCACUACUACAAUUACUUUGCAUGCACCAUUUAGGCAUAGGUCAGUAUGAACAAUUACUUGUGCUACAACACCGUCAUUCAUCUUACUUCCACCAUCUAAAUCCCUCGUUCGCACUUACAAUCAUAUCAUAAGCCUUCCACAUAACAUCCCCAAUUUUUGACAAUAACAUGGAGUUCAUGUUGAACGUAUACAUAGAAAGUAGUCUAAUCAUUUAGAACUUAUUAUAUCCUCACCCCAUAUAUCUCAUCGAACACACAUAGUAAUCACAUGCAUGUAUCAAUCAACAUACACCAUCACCACACACACACACACAUAUAUAUAUAUAUAUAUCAACCAACUUUCAUAAUCAUAUAUAUAUAUAUAUAUCAAAUAACAUACAUAAUCCUCAUAUAUAUCUUAACCAUCAAAUAUCAAUCAACAUAUAUAUAUACACAUCAUCAAAGUCUAGAAAAAAAAUAUAUAUAUAUAUAUAUACAUAACUUCAACUUUCAAAAAGGGAUUCGUGGACUCUAUGGACGAAAGGAGUCCAUAGAUAAACACUUGCAUACCUUAGAUUUCGUGGUUGGAAGAGAUUGACGGAAGGAAUUCUUGAAUCAAAGCCUCCAAUUAAUUUCCCCCAAUUCAAAACCCUAACACUAUAUAUAUAUAUAUACACAUAUAAGAGAAAUAAGAGAAAAAUAAUACAAGUUCUCAGCUGAAUGGGGUAUUUAUAGAGGUUUAAAAGAGUGGUGAAAGACCAAAAUGCACCUAAGAAACAAAUAAAACCCGAAUCUGUCCUUCAGUGAUCUAUUCAAUAGGCUGAAGAAAAUUGGCCAUAACUUUUUACUCUGAUGUCCAAAUUGGAUGAAACCAAUUUUAUUGGAAAGAAGACUCUCAGGGACUUCCAUUGAUAUAUAGUAGCUCACACAGUUCAUUAUGUACAAGGAGUUAUGAUCGUUUAAAGUUGACCAAAAAAAAUUGCCUGGCUGUAGUGUUUUUUUUCCCUGCACAUUUUACUGUUCACAGUUCGAUCGGAAUGGUCGUAGUUUGAUCGGAAUGGUCGUAACUCAUCGCUCGAGUAUCCGUUUUGGGUGAUCCAUAUAUCGUUGAAAAUCGUAUUUGAUGAUCUAUGAAAUAGUGGGUCGAAAUCUAAGAAAUGACACACAAAAAAAUUAUAAAUCAUUCUCAAAGAUAGGAUUCAAUACGUUUACACACAAAAUUUUGACGAAAAUUUUUUUGGGGUAUUACACAUGAGCUCCAGAUCCGUAGUAGAAGUAGCAUCCCAGUAUAAAGAGUUUCAGUGAGUCCUAUUUAUUCAAGGAUGAUAUGAUAUGAUUUAUUUAUUAUCUAAGUUAGCUUUUAGUUUUACAGAGUUAGUUGGAGACAUGUUCCUUCGUCUCCUUAUUCAGAUAGUACUUAGAGGCUUUCAGAUUUAGUUCAGAUUUGUAUUCAAUUUUGAUUCAGAUUCAGUUGUUUUGGGUAUUCGUUACCUUACAUGGAUGUUAUAUUUUGACAGAUUCUUUAUUCAGUUGAACCUUAUGGACUAUUGUUCAUGUUUUCCGCAUUCUUCAUAUAUAUUAUGCUGUGUACAAGUACAGAUAUCAGUCAUGGGUUAGCUUAUGGUCCUUUCAGGUCAUAGUCACCGUGUAGCAUUUCGAUUCAUAAAAUUGAGGCGUUCCAGCUAAACUAGGAGAAAUGUUAUUUGAUGGUUUAAAACAAAUAGUGCUUGCUCACAGAAUUUCUAAGAAGGGGAUUGAAGUCGAUAAGGUAAACAUUGAGGUGAUUCAGAAGUUUCCUCCACCAAUUUCUGUGAAGAACAUUCAUAGUUUUGGGGACAUACAAGUUUCUAUAGAUAAUUCAUCAAGGACUUUUCUAAAAUUGUGAAUCCAUUGUGCAAGUUAUUGGAGCAAGAUAUGAAGUUUGUGUUUGAUGAGACAUGCCUAAAAGAAUUUAAGUGUCUGAAAGAAAAGCUGAUUUCAUCCCCCAUCAUUUUGUCUUCAGAUUGGGCGUUGCCAUUUGAGGUGAUGUGCGAUACUCGUAGUGUAGAACUAGGUGCAGUCCUAGGCCAAAGGGGAGAGAAGAUACUACACCUAAUAUACUAUGCUAGUAACAUACUUAAUCCAACACAAAAAAAUGAUACUCGUGACUGAACAAGAGUUGUUUGCUGUUGCCUUUACAUUCAAGAAAUUUCAUUUCAACUUGAUUGGCAUUGAAGUGAUUGUGCAUACUGACUAUAUAUCUCUUAGAUAACUUAUGGCUAAUAAAUAUGUGAAGGAAAGGUUGAUUAGAUGGGUACUAUUAUUGCAAGAAUUCAACUUUGAGGUCAAGUCAAAAGGGGGAUUUAAAAUUAGGUAGCCGACCAUUUAUCACGCCUUAAGGAGGAGGCAAUUCUAAAACUAGGGGAAGCGCUUGAAAUUGAUGCUACUUUUUUAGAUGAACAGGUCUUGGCAGCAUCACAUGACUUGAUCCCUUGAUUUGCUAUUUUUCCAACUACCUGGCAAGUGACAUACUUCUGGAAGAUAUGUUAUUUCAGUAGCAAAAGCAGUUCAUGCAUGAUGUGUGGAAGUUUUUUUUGGGAUGACCUAUUAUUAUUUUAGGUUUAUGCUGAUGGAGUAAUCUAUAGAUGUGUUCUUGAGGUUGAAAUGAUGAGUAUCUUAGAGGCAUGCCACUCUUCACCAAUUAGGGUUCACCAUUGAGGUGUGCCGACCACACAUAAAAUCUUGCAACGUGGUUACUAUUUUCCUACCAUUUUCAAAGAAACUCAUGACUAUGCUAGGGCUUAUGAACAAUUUCUAAGGCAAAGGAAUAUCUCGUGCAGACAUAAACUUUCAAUGAUGACUAUCUUUGAGCUUGAGUUGUUUGAUGUAUGGGGUAUAGACUUUAUGGGCCCAUUUUUGAGUUCACUUGGGAUAAGAUACAUCUUGGACACCGUUGACUACAUGUCCAAGUGGGUGGAAGUAACUACACUUCCAAAUAAUAAAGGUAAAAGCAUUACAACUUUUAUGAAGAAGAAUAUUUUCUUGAGAUUUAGUAUGCCUCGAGGUAUGAUUAGUGAUGAUGACUUGCACUUCUACAAACGUAUUUUUAAAACCGUUCUUGAUAAACAUGGUUUAACAUAAGGUAGUAACCCUUACCAUCAUCAAAGAAGUGGGCAGGUUGAGAUCUCCGGAGAUCAAGUCUGUUUUGGUGAAGACUACAAUACUAAUCAAAAAGACUAGGAAAGAAGGUUAGAUGAUGCAUUGUUGGCUUAUUGAAUAACAUACGAGACUCUUGUAGAUUCCUCUCCAGAGUAGCUUGUGUAUGGAAAAACAUGCAACUUGCCCGUUGAACUUGAACAUAAGGCAUUAUAGGCAUUAAAAAGGCUUAAUAUGGAGUGGAGUAAUGCAGAGAAAUUAAGACUGGAAGAGAUGAAUAAAAUGGAUGAGUUCUAUCUCCACAUCUAUGAGAGUUUGGCCUUAUACAAGGAAAAGACGAAAUUGUACCAUGAUCGAAAGAUUGAUCAAAGAUAUUUUCACCAAGGUGAUUUAGUCUUGCUUUAUAAUUUGAAACUUUGUUUGUUUCCUAGAAAGUCAAAAUCCAAAUGGUCUAGACCAUUAACUGUGGCGAGAAUAUUUUGACAUGGUGCAAUCUAGUUACAAGGACACAAUGUUGUCCCAUUCAAGGUAAAUGGCCAGCGUGUCAAGUACUAUAUGGGCACCAUGGAAGAGAUAAGGUUAUGUGAUAAGUUGGACCUUGAUGAAGUUUGAGUAGUCAAGGGAGUUGGGUCAUGCUGCAAAGUCAAAUCAGGCUCUACAUGGGAGGCAACCCAUGGGCUAGUUUGUGAAGUCUGAGUAACCAACUCAGUUGCAUAGUGUCACAAUGUUAAAUCAAAUGCUUUAUUAGAGGGAACCUAUGUUUUGUACUUUAUAUUUUAUAGGGUAAUAUUUUUAUAGGUACGAGGAUUACACAUGAAAUAGAAGAUGUUGAAUUAAAUUACAGACUAAACCCAUGAGAGGAUUGUACGACAACGGGAAAAACCCAUGAUUGUGGGUUUAGUCGUCUGAGCAACAUGGAUAAGUGCCAUGGGAUAAAAUUAGGGAUUCAUAUUAUGAUUGGUCAUCACGAUUGUACCAAGAUGUUAGGAUUGUGGUUCCAUUCGUAUGAUCAUUCUCCUACAACCUAUCAAUUAGGCAUGAACCUAUGGUUUUAAGUAAUGAUCAUGGUUAGAUAUCACGAUCGUCCUUAAGCUUCAUAAGUUCCCAGGUAAGUUUUCUUAAACACCCUUUGUAUAAAAAGAAGACACGAUCAUGGUUAGAUACCACAAUUGUACAUUUGAGUCAUCUUAUGGGUCCUUCAAUUAUAGGAUCUAUAGGGAAAUUGCUUAGAAGUAUAUUUUGUACUACAACCCUUCCUAGUUUAAUGAAACAUUGACCUGACCUGACCCAACUCAAAUUUUUAAACCCUAAACCCCACUUUAAGACCUUACAUACUUCCAAAAAUAACUCACAAUCAAAUUCCUCUAAAAUCCAAUCGUAUUCAAGCAAGGAAACUAUAUUUUGUAUUUGACAUUCAAGGAAAAUUCAAGAUUCUAGUUGAAACUAAGAGAAAGAAUUGUCAAAUCUUUUUAAGUUUAAACUAAACUAUUAUCUUUUUCUUUUUAUUCAUUGAUGGGUGUGAGUUUUGAUGCAUAAACUAUGAUUACUCAUUGAAUACUUGAGUUUGAAUGCAUAUAAAAAUAACGAGAAGGUCUUGAGUACCCACUGUUGGUAAAAUGAUGGUCCGUGAGGAUCAAACUUUUAAAAAGACUAAAAUCUGCUAAAGGUUGGGGAUUCUAUGACACAACCUACAAUCAUGGUUUUGAUCUACGAUCAUAAGUUAGAUCAUUAUGGGAUUCCAGAUAUAGAUGCUCAGGAGUUCAUCAGAUAAGCACAUCCUAUGAUUGUGAGGUCAAAGUAAUAUCGUGGUAUGUGAUCAUCUGAUGUGAAACUUUUCUAGUAUAUUCAGGACACCCAUCCUACGACAAGAAGGUACGAUCAUAAAAAGGGUCAUCUGAUGUAUUUGCAACACUUUUUCAGAUUUUGUAAAAAUUGAUUCUAACUUCUUUCGAUAUAGGUAUAAUGGAACCAAAGGCUCAGAAAAAGUUGGAAAAGGACACCUCAAAGAAACGGGAACCCAAGGACAUAUCUACGGCCUCAGAGAGUGAGUAUAAAUCUUUUAGUGGGACUAAGGUAAGAUUUUCUAUGAGUUCAUCUAACGAGUAGCACUCACCUCAGACCACAGAGGAGACAGGCUAAUAAAAAAGACCAAGCCAUGGCCAUAGUAUCUACAACCUUGGUGGAAAAGGCCACACCCUUCCACUUUCCCCAAUCUAAAGAGGGAAGGCAAGGCACCUAAUAGGGUUAGAGUAAAUUUGGAAAAAAUCAAGUUCUUCAGAAUGGGAGGAAGAAUCAAAUUUGAAUCCUCCGAGGGUGCUGCUGACCCACUUUAGAGGGGCGUAGAUUCCAUAUGUUGGGUAGUGCCAAACUCAAAGGACUACUACAUUGACAGGGCUUCUAUGACUAAUUGAGGUAAUAAAAAUAAGAGUAUUCAGGAGAAGCCCCAAGUGUUAGCUAAUUCUCUCCAAAAAGUUACAGAGUUAGUGUAGGGUUUUACUGAAUAUAAGCUGGAUGGAUGACGAGACCCCUACAGGUAUAUGUGCUGAGUUGGUGUAAAAAUUUUAUGCCUACUAUGCAACAAUUCUAAAAAAAUGACUCUUUUAUAGAAGGAGAAGGAUAUUAAGAAACAUCCCUAACUUGACACUAUUUGGGUCAAAGAUAUAGAAGUCGAUAUCUCCAUUCAGUCCAUCUUAAUAGCUUUGCUCAGAGAAGCAUUUGUUCUAGUUGAGGAGACAAUAGAAAAUAAUUUUUGGAAGAAUUCUAAAAAGAGAAAAGAAGUUAAGUAAUGAUGGUAAGAGUUGCACUAUAGGUGGCUGGAGAUCCACAUGGCUGUAGCAAAAGAGAAUGCCUCACGGGUUAAUGGAGAAAUUAUUUAUAAACACAGUUUGAAAUUUGUAGGAAAGACCUAGUGGUAGGUUGUCAGGCACCGGAUCACAUCCAUAUACAAUGAUAAUACAUUGGGUAAAACCAAUGUCUGCCUAGUAGCGACCCCUAUUUUAAGAGUGGAGUUAAAUAUCCCAUGGAUCAUCAUGGAGGAGAUAUGAGAUAGGGUGCUCCAGUUUAGCACCACAUUACUUUUACCCUAUCUCACCACAUAGAUAAUGUGGAAUCAACAUGUCUCGAUUAUUAACAUAGUGGGCAGUGUGAUACAACCCAUGAAGGUUUCUGACAUAGCAAUGAUAAAGGAUCUAUGCAACCCUAAUGCCCAGCUAGAGGCCUUGAGAUUCCAUAUGUAAUUGGGGGUGCCCUAUUUAGUGACAUACCAACUGUAAUACCCCAUACUUUUUCCUAGCUAAUUUCAUCUCAAGAAUGUCUAGUAUUAGCUUCUAAAUUGAAUGAUGGUUAUUUUAUGAGGAAUUUUCAAGAUUUUACCUUUUUUCAUGUGGGCAAUUCAAUAAGAUUUCCAUCGAUAUAAGAUUCAUCCAAAUUCGAUAAACGGAACAUAAGUUAUGACUAUUUCAAGUUCCCGUCGUAAAACAGUGCCAUAUUACUCAGUGGUGCACAGUACCACAAGAGGAAAUGGCAUUUGGAAAAUUCCAGUAGGGUUUCAUGAUUAUGUCGCAUCAUGCCAGAGCCUAAAUUUAGAAUUUGUCCGUUUCCCAGUGUCUCAGCGCGAUUCCCCCCUCCCCCGUCACGCUAAAGUUCCAGGUCACAAAAGAAGAGGCAACGUGAUGGGUCCACAUCGCACCAUCCCUUAAUUUCCCAAUUGUCAAAUUCUAGUGACAUAGCGCGAUAGUGUCGUGUCGCGCCAGGGCUCCAAUUUGGGAAAUAUUUACUGAAAUUAAAUGACGCAUCCAGGGUUAAAAAGGGUCAACUUCCCACCCCUAUUUAAGCCCUUUAACACGUGAUUCAGCCAUUUCACCCAAAAUACACUCUCUUCUCUUAAGUUUAUCUUAAGAACAAGCUAGGGUUUCCAUUGGGGAUUCGAAUUCAAGAAGAUUUCACCAUCAAUCUUCACAAAAUCAUGAACUAAGGAAUGCACAGUGUUCAUUCAUGGAUUCCUUUCAUCCAUGAAGCCCAAGAAUCCUCUUUUAAAUUCUAUAACAUGAUACUUAUGUGGUGAAUUGAUUAUGUUUAUCUUUUUAUGGUUGUGUCACUGCCAAGAAUGAAUCUUUACCAUGUUUUCAUGAAACCAUGUUAGUUUAGGGUUGAAAUUCAUGCAAUGAAGUUAAAUUAUGGAAUCAUAAUGUAUUUGAUUUAUGAUCAUACCUUUGACUUAAAUGGAGCAUGCAAGGUGUUUGAUAAAAUGCCUAGUAUAAUAUAAAUCAUGUAUAAUGACUCAAUUAUGUUGUAAAUGCUAAAUGUAUACAAUCUAUUCUUGUUUAACAUGACCUACAUAUUAUUGAUUAUGAAUUAUACUUGCUUGAUGGAAUGUCCAUGAUACUCGAAGUAUUUAAACAAACCAUGAUUAUGUGCUCUCUUGUUCAUAUAUUAAACUAAGGUAAUCAAGUGCCUUAUGAAAUACUCCUCAACUAUUAUAUGAUGAAUUGUGGACUCUAGUCAUGUGUCCAAGAGUGUCAAAUUAUGUCAGUUUCCUACUAUCGAGUCCUGGGGGUACUUGUACCCGAACAAUAUAGUUGUGUUCCUAGAGCCAUGUCAUGUUUUCACAAUACUCUUAGUCAAGCUAUGAUCCUUAGACUUCAGACAGUCUUAUGACUCAGGAAAUCUCCAUGAUCUCAUAAACUCAGUUAGUUGUCAGAUAUCAGUAGUAUUCCAUUAGUCAAUGGAAUUCAGGAACUUAGUCCAUAUUCAAUUCAGUAAAUCAUGUUCAGUGUCUAUUCAGAUGGGAGUAGAAAUUAGCACCGAGCGAACCCAAGGAUAGGAACUCACCUAUUAUUUGAGGGUAUGAUUCUUAGAAGCAAUCCUUGUAUUCCAGAACUAUGUGGACAGUAUAGGUUGAAUUAUCAUAGCCUGCUAUAUGAGGGUAGAUAAGGUGUCUUAGUCUGCUAUAUGAGGCUUCCCAUCGUUCUCACUAGAGUUACCUGUUAUAUUAGGGUCACUGACAUGUUGUCCUUACCAGUGGUGCGGUAUUAGGUAUUGACACCCUUCCAAUCACGGCAUAGAUUGGACUGCAAUUCAGCUAUAAUGUAUUAUUUGGGGCAUGUUGGUAAGAUGACUACCUCCCAUAGUCUCAAUGUCAGUCUCAGUAAAAGAACUCAGAAAGUUCUUCAGAAUUCAAGACUGUCAGAUACAGUAUGGAACUCAACUAGUUCCAUUAGAUUUAGGACUGUCAGAUACAGUCACUUAUGUUAUCAGUUAUCAAAAUUCAGUCAUUAGUCAUGUUAGUCAUCAGCAUACUCAUGUUAUCAUGAUUUCAGAUAUAGUUACUAUGUAUGUCUGCAUGUAUUCUCACGUUCAUUAUUAGUCAGUAUUGUUCAUGCAUAUGAACCCCAUGUAUUCAGCCUACCUCAUAUGCAUACCAGUACAUUCUAAGUUCUGAUGCAUUUGCGCUAUGGUGUCUUAUACCAUAGGUUCAGAGACGCAAGCUCCAGAACAUUAGUAGAUUCUAGGUUUAGCCAUAAGAGUUAAAAGUGAGUCCUCAUCCUUUGAGGACUUGAUGAUUUCUCUAUUAUCUCAUUAAUUAGUUUAUUAGUUAGGGUUAGUUGGAGAUAUGUCCCAUCAACUCCUUACUCAUUCAGACAGUUAUGUUUUGAGGCUUUCUAGACUAUCAUAUUUUAGACUUCAGUAUUUUCAGUUUUGUUUUGGGUAUUCUACUACCCUACACAGAUGUUAUAUUAUUCAGAUUGUGUUUAGUUUUGAACCUUAUGGCCUUUUAGUUCAUGUUUCUACAUUAUUCAGUAUUUUAUGCAGUAUAUAGGCACAAAUAUCAGUCAUGGGUUAGCUUAUGGUCACUCGGGGUCAUGAGCACUGUGUAGCAUUUUGGGUACCAGAUUCGGGGCAUUACAAACUUGGUCACAAAUCCUAAGGUUCAAUAGAGUCCUAGGAAGUCUGAAAUCCGCAUCUAGUAGAGUCUUGUACAUGGGUGUGUUGCGUGCCACAUUUAUGUGCAGGAGGCUGUGAGAUGUUUUAGGAACAGUUUCCCCUCUUUCAUUAUUCAUGUCGUGCCAGUGAGAAUAAUCUCAAGUCAAUCUCUCAGUCUAAUCCAUUUCCCUCUUUCUUCUACAGAACAUGCCUCUUAAGAGAAAAAAUAGGAAUCAGCCAGCCCCUCAGCCCAAAGAACCUUUGGGCGAACAUGUUUCUCAUACGGAGUUCAGUUCCGUAUUCACUACUCUUGCUCAGUCAGUUGCUGCUCAGAAUGAAUAACUAACUGUCAUUCCAGCCCUGUGGCCAAUUCAGCUGCAGCCAAGAUUUGGGACUUUACUCGAAUGAAUCCUCCAUCCUUUCUUGGGUCUAAGACAGAUAAGGACCCUUAGAAAUUCCUAGAUCAGGUGCAGAAGGUUAAGGAUAUAAUGAGGGUUAUGUCUAGUGAGAGUGCUGAGCUAGCUGCAUAUUAGUUGUAGGAUGUUGCUCACACUUGGUUCAAGUAGUAGAAGUUAGAGAGGGCAGAUGAUACAGGGUCAGUUGAGUGGGAGGAGUUUGCUUCAGCGUUCCUUGAUAGAUUCUUUCCCCUAGAACUUAGAGAAGAUAAGGUGCUAGAAUUCAUCAACCUCAGGCAGGACAAUAUGACAAUGAAAAAGUAUUCUCUUAAGUUUACUCAAUUAGCCAGAUAUGCCCAUCAUGUGGUUGCAGAUAGCAUGGAAAGGAUAAGUAAGUUCGUUUCAAGGGUGAAUGAUAGUGUGGUUAAUGAGUGCAGAUCUGCCAUGAUGAGUAGUGACAUGACUUUAACCAGGCUCAUGAAUCAUGCUCAGAAGGUAGAGGAACAGAAGAUUAAGAUGAGGGAGAAGCAGAAUAAAAGAGUGAAGAUAGGUAGUUUCAACUUUGCUCAGCCUAAGUCAGAAGGAGGAAACCGUUACCAGUUUCAUCCUAAGUCAUUAGUUCCAGCUCCUUCUUCAGCUAGUGCUCUGGUUCCUAAGUUUAGAGAGGGUAACAAAGAUAGAGCACUAGUCUCUAAGUCCAGGAUAAUGUUAGCAGUGCCUGUACCUAUCCUCUUUGCCAGACUUGUGGCAAGCACCAUCAGGGUUUUUUUAGAGCUGGCAGUGGUAUUUGUUUUAGAUGUGGCAAGCCAGCCCACAGAGUCAGAAAUUGUCCUCAGCCAAGUCCUCAGGGUCAACAGAAUUGCUCCUCAGCUCAUUCCAGUCGCCCAAAUCAGCAGGGUGCCACCUCCAGUGCUACUAGUGGGCAACGCCCAAAUCAUCUCUAUGCUCUUCAGUCCCAACAAGAUUAGGAAAAUUCCCCUGACGUGGUUACCAGUAUGUUACAGAUCUUUCAUGUGCAUGUUUACACUUUUCUAGAUCUAGGAGCUUCGUUACCUUUUGUCACUCCUUAUAUAGCAGUUGAUUUUGGAGUUAGUCCCAAAAUUCUAGCAGAGCCCUUUUAAGUCUCUACCUCAAUGGGUAAAACCAUCAUAGCUCGGUGGGUAUACAGGAAAUUCCUGAUUAUGAUAUUUCAGAAAGUCACUUUAGCAAACUUAGUCGAAUUAGAGAUGACUGAUUUUGAUGUUAUUCUCAGCAUGGAUUGGCUUUAUUCCUACUAUUUCACAGUCGACUACAGAAAUAGAAUAGUCCAAUUUCAGUUUGCAAAUGAACCCAUCCUUGAGUGGAAGAGUAGUGUAUCCGCUUUCAGAGGUCAGCUUGUUUCCUACCUUCGGGCAUGGAAAAUAAUAUCUAAAAGAUGUGUCUAUUAUAUUGUUUGAGUUAAGGACACUAGUUUCGAAACUCCCAAUCUUGAAUCAGUCCCAGUAGUGAAUGAAUAUUCAGAUGUCUUUCCCGAAGAUCUUCUAGGAAUUCCUUCCAAAAGGGAAAUAGACUUUGGCAUUAUUCUUCUUCCAGAUACUCAGCCUAUAUCUAUUCUGCCAUACAGAAUGGCACCAGUAGAACUCAGAUAACUUAAAGAACAAUUGAAAGAUAUCUUAGAUAAGGGAUUCAUCAUGCCCAAUAUUUCCCCGUGGGGCGCUCCAGUAUUAUUCGUGUGCAAGAAAUAUGGUUCUCUUAGGAUGUGUGUAGACUACCGUCAACUCAAUAAGGUCACGGUCAAGAACAAGUAUCCUCUUUCCAGAAUUGAUGACUUGUUUGACCAACUGGAGGGUGCCAGUUAUUUCUCUAAGAUAGAACUCAGAUCUUGCUAUCAUCAGCUCAGAGUUAGAGAAUAUGACAUUCUAAAAAUAGCUUUUCAUACUCGGUAUGGUCAAUUCGAAUUCUUAGUUAUGUUUUUUGGUCUUACCAAUGCCACAACUGCUGUCAUAGACUUGAUGAACCGUGUGUUCAAGCAGUGCUUGGAUAUGUUCAUCAUAGUCUUUAUAGAUAAUAUUUUGGUCUAUUCCCGUAGUCAGCAUGAUCAUGCAGACCAUCUUAGAAUAGUACUUUAGACUCUCAGAGAUCAUCAGCUAUUCGCCAAAUUCAGUAAGUGCUAAUUUUGGAUAAGGUUAGUAGCAUUCCUUGGUCAUAUCAUUUUCGAUGAUGGCAUUCGAUUAGAUCCUCAAAAGACCAAAGAAGUAAAAAACUAGCCCAGACCUGUCUUUCCAUCAGAUAUCAAGAGUUUCUUGGGUUUGGCUGGCAAUUACAGAUGGUUUGUUGAGGGAUUUCCUUAUAUUGCAUCCCCUAUGUCCAUAUUGACUAAGAAGAAAGUCAAGUUUCAAUGGUUAGAUCUUUACGAGAAGAGUUUUCAAGAGUUGAAGACUCGACUCACCUCAGCUCCAGUCUUAGCUCUCCCAGAUAGUUCAGAUGGUUUCGUAGUGUAUAAUGCAUCCAGAGUAGCUUUGAGUUGUGUCCUCAUGCAGCAUGGUAAGGUCAUAGCCUACGCCUCCAGACAGCUUAAGCCCCAUAAGAAGAUUUAUCCUACUCAUGAUCUUGAGUUAGCAGCCGUAGUCUUUGCCUUGAAGAUUUGAAGGCAUUAUCUGAACUACUUCGGGCUACUCAGAGCCGACAAAAGUCUUAUGCAGAUGUUCGUAGAAAAGUUUUCGAGUUUGAGAUUGGUGACUAUGUCUAUCUAAAGAUCUCUCCCAUGAAGAGAGUGAAGUGGUUCAGCAAGAAAGGGAAACUCAGUCCCCGAUAUGUCGGUCCCCGCAAGAUUCUUAGUCUAUUCGGUAAGGUAGCUUAUAAGCUCAAAUUGCCUUUAGAUCUAGACUCAGUUCAUCCAGUCUUCCAUGUCUCUUUGCUCAAGAAGUGCAUAGGUGACCUAGCAGUUGUAGUCCCUAUUCAGAGCAUUGAUGUUCAGAACAGUCUCUCUUAUGAGGAGAUUCCAAUCAAAAUCUUAGACUAUUAGACUCGUAGAUUAAGGAACAAAGAAGUCCCUUUAGUUAAGGUUCUUUGGCGAAAUUAGUCCAUCGAGGGAGCUACUUGGGAAGUAGAGGCAGACAUGUGUAUCAAGUAUCCUCACCUCUUCUUUGCCAACUCAGAUCAAGCUCAAGGUAACAGUUCUCCUUAAGCUUACUCAGCUUCAUGCUCAGUGUUCAUCAUAAAAUUGGUAUGCAGUUUCACGCUCAUGUUCCUAUUAAAAACUAUUUAUCAAGUACCAUUGCAUAUUCAAUCAUGCACUCAUGUAUCAGUUCAGUUAUGUAACUAUGCAUCAGACAUGCAUUAUCAUUGUGCGAAACUUAGUUCUUCUGAACACUCAGUCAUGCAUUCAGGAAUCAGUUACACAUGCAUCAGAUACGCAUGUUCAGUAUUAUAUGCUCAACUUGUCAGUCUUGUCAGCCAUGAGAUCAUGUUCCAGUUAUUCAUGUUCAGUAUGUACAUCAGUUGUCCUUUCUUCCCUCUCAGUCAGUCUUAUUUGAGGACGAAUGUACUCAAAGGGGAGAUAUUAUAAUACCUCAUAAUUUUUCCUAGCUAAUUUCAUCUUAAGAAUGUCUAGUAUUAGCUUCUAAAUUGAAUGAUAGUUAUUCCAUGAGUAAUUUUCAAUAUUUUACCUUUUUGUCAUAUGGGAAAUUUAAUAUGCUUUCCAUCGAUAUAAGAUUCAUCCAAAUCCGAUAACCGGGUUAGAAGUUAUGACUAUUUCAAGUUCCCAUUGUAAAACAGCGCCAUAUUAGUCUGUGGCAUGCCACGCCACAAGAGGAAAUGGCAUUUGGCAAAUUCCAGUAGGGAUCCACGAUUAUGGUGCAUCGCUCCAGGGUCUAAAUUUAGAAUUUGUCCGUUUCCCAGUGUCUCAGCGCGAUUUCCCCUCUGCGUCACGCUAAAGUUCCAGGUCACAAAAAAAGGGGCAAUGCAAUGGCUCCGCUCACACCAUCCCUCAAUUUCCCAAUUGUCAAAUUCCAGUGACACGCGAGAUAGUGCCGCAUCACGUUAGGGGUCCAAUUUAGGAAAUUUUUACUGAAAUUAAAUGACGCGUCCAGGGUUAAAAAGGGUCAACUUCCCACUCCUAUUUAAUCCCUUUAACACGUGAUUUGGCCGCUUUUCACCCAAAAUACACUCUCUUCACUUAAGUUUCUCUCAAUAACAAGCUAGGUUUUUCAUUGGGAAUUCAAAUUCAAGAAGGUUUCACCAUCAAUCUUCACAAAAUCAUGAACUAAGGUAUGCACAGUGUUCAUUCAUGGAUUCCUUUCAUCCAUGAAGCCCAAGAAUCCUCUUUUAAAUUCUAUACCAUGAUACUCAUGUGGUGAAUUGAUUAUGUUCAUUUUGUUAUGGUUGUGUGACUGCCAAGAAUGAAUCUUUACCAUGUUUUCAUAAAACCAUGUUAGUUUAGGGUUGAAAUUCAUGCAAUGAAGUUAAAUUAUGGAAUCAUAAUGUAUUUGAUUUAUGAUCAUACCUUUGCCUUAAAUGGAGCAUGCAAGGUGUUUGAUAAAAUGCCUAGUAUAAUAGAAAUCAUGUAUAAUGACUCAAUUAUGUUGUAAAUGCUAAAUGUAUGCAAUCUAUUCUUGUUUAACAUGACCUACAUAUUAUUGAUUAUGAAUUAUACUUGCUCGAUGGAAUGUCCAUGAUACUCGAAGUAUUUAAACAAACCAUGAUUAUGUGCUCUCUUGUUCAUGUAUUAAACUAAGGUAAUCAAGUGCCUUAUGAAAUACUCCUCAACUAUUAUAUGAUGAAUUGUGGACUCUAGUCAUGUGUCCAAGAGUGUCAAAUUAUGUCAGUUUCCUACUAUCGAGUCCUGGGGGUACUUGUACCCGAAAAAUAUAGCUGUGUUCCUAGAGCCAUGUCAUGUUUUCACAAUACUCUUAGUCAAGCUAUGAUCCUUAGACUUCAGACAGUCUUAUGACUCAGGAAAUCUCCAUGAUCUCAUGAACUCAGUUAGUUUUCAGAUAUCAGUAGUAUUCCAUCAGUCAAAGGAAUUCAGGAACUCGGUCCAUAUUCAAUUCAGUAAAUCAUGUUCAAUGUCUAUUCAGAUGGAAGUAGAAAUUAGCAUCGAGUGAACCCAAGGAUGGGAACUCACCCGUUAUAUGAGGAUGUGAUUCUUAGAAGCAAUCCUUUCGUUCCAGAACUAUGUAGCCAGCAUAGGUUGAGACAUCAUAGCCUUCUAUAUAAGGGUAGAUGAGAUGGCUUAGCCUGCUAUAUGAGGGUUCCCAACAUUCUCACUAAAGUUACCUGUUAUAUUAGGGUCACUCACAUGUUUUCCUUACCAGUGGUGCGGUAUUGAUACCCUUCUAAUCAGGGCAUAGAUUGGACCCUAAUUUAGCUAUAAUACAUUAUUUGGGGUAUGUCGGUUAGAUGACUACCUCCCACAGUCUCAGUAUCACUCUCAGUAAAAGAACUCAGAUAGUUCUUCAGAAUACAGGACUGUCAGAUACAGUCAACUUAGAAACAGUACUAAACUCAACUAGUUCUAUUAGAUUCAAGACUGUUGGAUCCAGUCACUCAUGUUAUCAGUUAUCAAAAUUUAGUCAUUAGUCAUGUUAGUUAUUAGCAUACUUAUGUUAUCAUGAUUUUAGAUAUAGUUACUAUAUAUGCCUGCAUGUAUUCUCAUGUUCAUUAUUUGUCAGUAUUGUUCAUGCAUAUGAACCCCAUGCAUUUAGCCUACCUCACAUGCAUACCAGUACAUUCAAAGUACUGACGCAUUUAUGCUAUGGUGUAUUAUAUCAUAGGUUCAGAAUACGAGCUUCAGAGCAUCAGUAGAUUCCAGGUUUAGCAGUCAAAGUUAGAAGUGAGUUGUCAUCCUUUAAGGACAUAAUGAUUUCUCUAUUAUCUCAUUAAUUAGUUUAUUAGUUGGGGUUAGUUGGGGAGAUAUCCCACUAACUCUUUACUCAUUUAGACAGUCAUGUUUAGAGGUUUUCCAGACUAUUAUGUUUCAGACUUCAGUAUUUUCAAUUUUGUUUUGGGUAUUCUAUUACCCCACACAGAUGUUAAAUUAUUCAGAUUGUGUUCAGUUUUGAAACUUACGGUUUUUUAGUUCAUGUUUCUGCAUUAUUCAGUAUUUUAUACAGUAUACAGGUACAGAUAUCAGUUAUGGGUUAGCUUGUGAUCCCUCGGGGUAAUGAGCACUGUGUAGCUUUUCGAGUACUAUAUUCAGGGCGUUACACCAACGUCUGAUGUCAGUGCCUCUCAUCCUUAAAACCACUGGCAUCCAUCUAUAGUAUACCAAUGGUUCUAACCAAUAGACACUAAUUUUGACUUCACAGUUGGAAAAGAUCAUGCGGAGCCUACUUUUACAUGAUGCUCGGAUUAAUAAACUAGAGUUUGGGUUAAGCAUUAUGCCAUAAAUUAUAUUUAGGGUGCCAUUAGGACUUUUUAUAUACGUGCAAACAGAUUUGAGAGCUUGGAUGAUAGCUAGGAUGGAUAAAGUCCAGGCACCAAACCUGGUAGAUGUUACAGCAAACCUGACCAAGCUUAAAAAGUGGUUGGGUUAUUGACUGAGAUGUUAGAUAAUGCACCUCCUCCAACACCACCUUUGACAUCAUUUUCAGCUCUUACAGUGCAUAUGGACUCAUUAGUUCUUGAAUUUUACACACCCAUUUUCGAUCUUGAUGAGGUGGAAGGUGACUUGGAGCCUUAAAAAGGGAGAAGAGGUGAGGAGAAUAAGCAAUAGAGAAAGAGGAAAUAUAAUAAUAAGAAGAAGAGAAGAAAGUUGGAUAGAACUUUGCGAUAGUAAUUCUGAAGGGGCGAGAUACUACCUACCACAGGGGUGGUUGUACAGUCUGGAGAGGGCAUAGUGAUUCCCCCAAUUUGGGUACUUUGAGUGCACUGGCCUCCACUAGUCCCAAUUUAUCUAUGAGCUCCACAACUACAAUCGAAGGCAUCAAAAAAUAUGAGACUUUUGGGGACACUUUUAUGUCCCUACGAAAUCAGAGUUCGAUCAGCUUCUAGGGUUCCAUAGGUAUGUCCGUUACCCUAGUUUUUACAUUUCUAUGAUUUUGUACAAUGGGGAUAUUGCAUGAUUUCCAAAUUAGGGAUGAGGGUAUACCAUAACCAAGGGUUUCUAUUGUUUUGUUUCUUCCCUCGGUUGUGCUAUUAUAGUAAGAACCAACAUGUUUAGGUGUUUUACUAUUUUUAUUGCUGAUUGUUUUGUGGUUUUUGUUAUGUAACUUAGAGUAAUUUUAAGAAAACUUGGUGCAAUCAUAUUUAAUAAAGCAUGCAAACCUAUUUCUAAAUGUUUUUUAAAUGAUACCCCUCCAAAAUUUAUUUUGUGAUGGUGUAUGUUGCAUGUACUUUGUUGUAACCAAAGACAUGAUCUAGAUAUUGCAUUAGUACUUUUAUUAGGAUAACCUGGACGACCUUGCAUGAAUUGAGUAGGUAGUAACUUAGAUGAAAGACCUAAGCCAUGAAUGAGUAAGAUUCUACUGAGUCGAUAUGUGAUGUCUGAUAUAGAACUUUCCCGAUUAGUCUCGCUAAAAAUUGUAUGAUAUGAGGUUGGGAAAGGAUCAUAGUCCAUGUUUGACACAGUCCACUUUAGCCUAAAUAACCUACCAAAUAAGCAUAUAUCCUUGAACCUAAACUUUGAGCCUUAUUAGACCUCUCUUUGAGCUACAGGAUUUACCUUUCCAACUUUUACAAUGAACCUUUUUUGGCCCCAGUCUCUCAUUUGAUACUAUGUACCUUAACUUAACUUAAUCGCCUAAGUUGAGGGUAGCUAUUAUGUAGGGGUGCAUAGAAAGUAAAGGAUGAAAGAUUAGUAGAGAAAAGAAAAGGAAUUGGGAGCGCUAUGAAAAAAAAGAAAAAAAAAUAUAAUAAUGGUAAUAAUAAUAAUAGUGAAUUGAUGUAAAAAGAAAAUCACACUUGAGGUCCCAAAAGGAAAUAAAAUGGUGGAAAAGGGAGAAAAAUGCAAGUAGGAAAGUGUAGUGCCAAGGAGGAAUAAGUCACUACACCCAAAUGUAUCAUACCUACCUCUAAGACUAUAUUAAAAGCCUAGAAAAGAGCUAAUGUGAUCGUAAAUCAACUGUCUGAAAGUUGAAGUAUAGAAAAUAAGGGCAAGACUAUGGUGUCAAAUAGACAUAGUCUAAAUUCUUUGUUAGAGUGAGAGAUUUGAUUAAGUCCUAGUAAUAGAUUUCAUUGCAUAAACUGAGUGAUUAGGGAUUUCUUUGAUGUGAGGGUGUAUGGAUUGUAGUUUAGCUUUUGCCUGGUUAGGUAGUUUAUUGAUCUAUGUGUUAGGUUGUCUAUCCAUAAUUUAAUGCCAUAUCCUGAUCCGCUGUGAUAAAGUGCUUGUAUUGCAUACCCACUGCCUUGAUUGUUUGUGAUGAAAGUGGAGGGUGUUGAUAAUACAUAAGCAGUAUGAAUGUAUGAAAACUGGUUUUAUAAAAGUGAUUUUUGUAGUGAUCUUGAUUUUGCUCUAAGUUAAGUGUCUUAGUUAGUCUAGUUACUUUGUUUACCUGAGGACAUGCAAAUAUUCUAAGUUGAGGGUGUUGAUUUGCCAUGAAUUUACGACACUUACACAUUUUAAAAUAAGGAAUAAUUAUAAGUUCAAGGAAUGUUUAUGUGGAUAUGAUAGGUUUUUGGUAUGAUCUCAGGGUAAAUAGGCUCAGGAGAAGAAACUACUAAAACACGAGCUUUAGAUGAUUAUACGAAAGGAAUGACAAUCAUGGGAUCUGAUCAUGAUCGUACCAAGGCUAUCGGGCCUUGAAUUAGAGAGUCCUAAGGCGUUAAUCAAACGAAAGCCUCUCACGACCAUAGUAUGGCGUCACGACCGUACUUUGCUAUAGUGGGAGGAAGGCUUGGGAAUAAAGUUGCAAAACCUAAAUGUGAGAUGAUCAGAUGAGCAAAAGUCAUGGUCAUAUUUUGAUAUGAUGAUUGUACUAUGAGAUAGUAGGAUGAAGGCCAAGAUAUGAAGGUUGCAAAAGUUCAAGUUGAAGACGACCAGAUGAGAAAAUCAUACGGUCAUAUGAUUGAUACUACGAAGCCGUACUAAGCACUGUACCAUUGAAUAUCAUAAGAUAAAUAUCGACGAUCCAAACCAUGAGCACCAAAAGAUAAUCUUACAAUCCUAUUGUCUGAGCCAAACCAACCUAGAUGUCUUAUUCUAUUUAGGAUAGGAUUUCUUUUAUUUAUAAAUAUUUUUGUAGGGUUAUUUAUGUGUUACACACUACAUUUAUUUAACAAUACUAUAUUGUGAGGUUCUAAGGCAUAUACUUGAAAUUUUACGAACAUAGUUUCCAGAGUUUUAAUUAAAGUUGAGAUUUUGGACUUUAAUUCUCAUUGUAAGUUCAUAGCGACGCAUUCAUAUCUGAAUUCUUCUUGUGUUUUUGAAAUUAUGAGUAGCUUAACACCACAACUAUUGUUGUGAUAACCAUAAUGAAUUAACAAAAUGGGUUAAGUGCAAGGCAAUUCUAGACCCGUGUGCUUGCAGGUAUUGAUAUUUUCUUCAUUACGAUUUCUUUUUUAAUGAAUGCAUACAUUAGGAACUUACCAAUAUUCUAAAUUUGCUUGGGAGAGAUUAAAGAUUAGGAAAACGAAAUAACAAUAGAGAUUUGAGGCUAUAUAUCCUUAUUAAUAACUUGAGCUAUAACAGGGAUGGCUAAUUUGAGAUUAUGAAUAAGGGUUAGUAAUGCGACACUCUAAAUUUGAAAGGAGAUAAGUGAAAUUCAUCUAACUAAGGUUAGAAGAUGUUCAGGUGAACCUAUCUUAUUAGAUUUUGCAUGCAACGCAUCGAGAGAGUUUGCCAGCACAAACAACCUGUGGAGUUAUGAAAUAAUAGGGAUCACAAUCCUAGUGCUUAUCUCCUAUUGAUUACAAAUUCAAAAACCAACAACUGUUAAUUUCACUAUUUCAUUUUACAAAAUCUGCCCUUCUUUUACUUAUUUUGAAAUUACCUAGACAAACAAGUGAUUUUAUAUUUGAUUCAGGACUGCUUUAUACUUUUUUGGGAGGUAUAAUUUGGGCGACAUCAGUAACAACUCUAGUCAAGAAUUGGUAUAUAUGGUUUAUCAAAUAGCUUGUUUAGUUUCAUAUUUGUGUUUUUUCUAAUUCCUUUGCUUGUACCUGCAGAAGUAGAUUGAUAAACGUGAUGGGUUUUAUGGAGUGUCCCAUCGUCUCCUUCUAGCUCUGGAACUUUAAUAUCUUCCGAUUGACAUAGCUCUGCAUACUGCUGAGUUAGUUGAUUUGUAGCUAUAGACUUCAGUUUAACUUCAUUAGUCUUUAGCUUUUCUAUUUCAUUACCCAUACUGUCCACUUUCAUUGAAAGCGUAGUUAGGGUGUUGAAUAUUUUUUCUAGAGUAUCCUCUUCUAUUAUAUCAAUCUGUGUAGCUUUGUCUUGAUAUGUAAUCUACAAUAACAUUUUUGUUAGUACUAAUUACUUCAAUUAUAAAUUUGAAAUUUAAUAUAUUCAAGACUAGUCUCCGAAUCUCUUUUGUUGUAACUGAAUUUUGUAUUUUCUUUGUUAACCACCAGCGUACCUUUGUAUUAUCCGUUCGUACAAUAAACUUGUUAUAUACAAUAUAUGGCUCAAAUGCUAACAAACAUUAGCCACCAGCGUACCUGUGUAUUAUCUGUUCGUACAAUAAAUUUGUUAUAUACAAUAUAUGGCUCAAAUGCUAAUAAACAUUUAUAUAAUGAACAUAAUUCUUUCCUAUUUAUUUCCCAUUUUAUUUCUGUCUCGUUGAACGUACCUGAGUAGUAUCUACAAUGGUGUUCUAUUUUUUCUGCUUCAUAUCGAUAUUUAAGUACUCCUCCGUAACUAUAUUCACUUGCAUCUGCUUCUACUAUAUAUAUAAAUUUUCUAUUUUCAUCUGGAAAUUGCAAUUUUGGUAAUUCUCUACAAAGUAAUUUUAUUUUUUGAACUUGUUUUUUAUCUUUUUCAUCAUAAUUAUAUUCUAUAUCCUUUUUUAAUUUUUUCUGCAGUGGUUUUAAGGUUUCUGCUAAUUUUGGAAUAUAUUCUCUUACUUGGUUUACUAAUCCUAAAAAUGAUUGUAAUUUCUUUUUUGUAUCUAAUUCUUCUUUCGAAUUUAUUAUUUUUUGUACUAUAUGUUGUUGCAUUUUUACUCCACUUUUAUCUAUUUGUAUUCCUAAAAAUUCUAUCUGGUUUUUCAUAAUUUCAGCUUUCUUUUUGCUUAGACUUAUUCCUGAUUUUUCUAUUAUAUCUGUGAAUUGUUCUAAUAAUUUUAAAUGUUCUUCUUUGGUUUUGGUGUAUAAUAAUAUAUCAUCUAUGUAUACUAUACAAUUAGAUAAUUGUUUAAAAUAAUUAUCCAUAAAAUGUUGAUAUCUACCUGGUGCAUUUUUAUAUCCAAAUGGUAACACGUUCCAUUCAUAAAAUCCUUGUGGUACCGUAAAUGCGGUUAAUUCUUUAGAUUCUUCUUCUAGCUUUAGGUGGUAAAAUCCUGAUUUACAAUCAAAUUUGCUAAAAUAAUUAUAUCCUUGGAUUUGUCUUAUUUUUAAUAUCUUAUUUGGUAUCGGAUAAUUAUAUGUUAUAGUUUUUGCAUUUAAAUUUCUAUAGUCAAUAACCAUCCUACUUUUUCCUCUUUUUUGUUCACUAUGUUUAUUUACUAUAAAUGCUGGACUAUUAUGUUUACUAUUACUUUUUUGUAUAUAUUGUUUUUCUAAUAAUUCAUCUAUAUGCAUUUUAAAUUCUUUUAAAUCGUCAAAAUUAUAUGUUAAUGGUUUUUGGGUUAUUAUGCUAUUUUUAUCUAUUAAUUCAAUUUUUAUAGUAGUUUUAUGUUUUUCCCAUCCUUUUAAUGGAUCUUCACUAUAUAAUUGUUCUAAUUUUUUCUUAAUUAUUUCUAUUUUAUUUAUUGAAAAUAUAGUUAUUUCUGUUUUAUUUAUCGAAAAUACUACUAGUUCUAUUGUAUCUUCAGUAUUUUUUAUAUUUUCUAACUUUUGUGUAAUUUUUUCACUUCCUUUUAUCCAAUCAGUUUUCUUUCUUAUUUUAUUAUUAACUCUUUUUGCUCUUACUUUCUGUUUACAUGGUGUUGUAAACCACCAAUCUGUUCUAGUUAUUAUAUGUGGGUAUAAUUUAUCUAAAAACGACAUUCCUAAAAGUAUAUCUUUUGAUGUUAGUUCAUAAUUAUAAAUUUCUUCUAUUGUUAAUAUCUUAUCCCAUACUUGUAUUUUUACAUUCCUAGCUUUAUAAGUAAUUAAGCUUCCUUCAUUAUUAAAUCCUUUAACUAUUAUUGGUGUUUUUAAUUUAUCCCAUUUGCUUUCUGGUAAGCAAUUAUAUCUACAUAAAUUAGCUUCUGCUCCUGUAUCUAUCAUAGGCGUAUAAUAUCUACUGUAAUAUCCUUCUACUACUAUCUUUAUUAAUACAUAUAUUUUCAUUUUAUGUUAAGGAUCUUCUUAAGAAUAAUUUCUCUCUCUUAUAUGUUAAGGUUAAUUGUGUAUAAUAACUCAUUAGGCAGUAUAAAGAGCAAAUUUCUUUAUCAAAACCUUGUAACUUUGACACAGAUAAACCGGUGUGUUUUUUAGAUCAUGAUCUCUGUCGAGAGUGUCAAAUAAUUUUAUUUUUAAUCUAUUGAUUUCAGAAUUAUUUGAAGUAUUUUUUAAGCGAUAAAUUUUUUGAUUGUAUUUUCUUAACUUUGUUAUAUCUUUGUUAAGAGUUCCUAUAAUUGUUUUGGAUUCCCAAAACCUUCUUCUAAGUUUCUUUAGUUGUGGUUGUACCACUCUCAUGAUGAUAAGUAUAACUACAAGAAAUCUUGGUUUUAGUGGCGACAAUUAGUGGCGAGUCAAUAUAUUGCUACAAAAACAUAGUAUUUAGUGGCGACAUUUAUUAUCGCUGCAAUACAUUAUAUUUUAGCAUCAGAUAAUUUUUGUCGCCUCUAAUAGUUGUCACUAUAAUAAAAAUUUUAGUCUCCACUAAUAAUAAAAUUUUUCCUCCAAGGUAUGUGGUCAAAACCCUUUUGGGUAUAUAUGUAAUUUUUUAGAUUGCAUGUGCAAUUUCUUUAAUUUAUUUGAAAAUCUGUAGGAAUAGAAUUUUGUAAGGUCGAAGGGUGAAGGAAUCGAGUUCAAAAUUCUUGAGGUUAGAUCCGAAGGUACAAUUUAUGUUUCUCAUUAAUUCAUUUUUUGUAUUUUGUUAAUUUUCAUUUUUAAAAAUUGCCAGCGAGUUAUCGUUAUCUUUAUUUGGGUAAGUUGAAAGUUCAUUUUUGAAUUUGUAGACCUUUUGAUAUUGUUGCACAGAAAAGUUUAUUGUUUAAUAUUUAAUAGGUUACUAGGCUUAAAGUACAGGGAUGAGGAGCCAAAAAUUGGUGUGACAAUUAGUGUAGUGAAUGAGUAUAUCAGUGUUGUAGUUAGAGUUACACCGAAAUCCAUAGAAGUUCUUAUCUUAGGGAUCGUUCCCCCAACAUGGGAUUUGUGUUAUCUUUGCCCAGCCAAUUUCGUAGUCUUUGUUAUAGACGAGUAAUCUUGACUGUAUGUACAAAGGAUUCGAGAUACAAUUGCUCUUCUUCUCACAGUUUGUCUUAAAACAUCGCUAGGAUUUACAGCCACGAUACUGUCUUUAUUCUCUCAUUUUACCCGAGUCUCAAAUUCUUCCUUUUGUCAUCCAUGCUGUGAUAGUAGCGCAUCUGACUCCAGAUUAGAAGGUUGUGUUGUGUAUUUGAUUGACCAGUUACAAUGUCUUUGUAUGGUUGAAAAUACUUUUUUUUGGAUAAAAUCUGUAAUAAGUUAUCAAUGAGGAUAACAAGUGACGUGAUAUUCACAAAUCACCUUAAAAUAGGUUGUUAUGAUAAAUGCUUCUUUCUGGAAAAUCUAUAUCACUGUGUGGAGAAAUCUUACAUACUCGUGUCUUGGGGGGCGACUUGGUAGAGCAUUCAUUUGCAAACAUUGUCUGCAACCAUGACAUGUUGGUUUCUUUUUUUUUCAUUUCAUAAAAAAGCAAAAUUUGAGCCUUGAAUUUUCCAAGAAUGAUAAAUAUGCCUCCUUAUUCUCUAAGGAUGAUAGAUCCACAUUAAUAACUUCAAGAAUUUCAUACAUAUGACUAAAAAAUAUUAUGGAGAAGAAGACUGAUGUUUAAUUAGAAAAUUAAUUAACAGAAGAAAACAUAGGUAAUGUUAGGAGUUAACUUCACAAGUUGUAUGCUUAGAAGUGAAUCUUCCAGACCAAAUAGUAUUUUAAUAAUAUUCUUUAAAAGUUUAAGAGUCCUGGGGAUGUGUUGUCCGUUAUACUCUAUUUCUCAGAGACUGCAUUGGCAAAGGAACAACAGAACCAUAUAACAAUGGAAUGGAAAGAAAAUAAUAGGGCUGUGAUGAUUGAUUGUUAUUGAGAAAUGGAACCUGGCAUUGUUGUUUCAGGCCUGUAUCUUAGCGGGGCAACUUGUAUUAUAGGGUUUGCGGUCAUGGCAGUGUCAGAAAACUCAUUGCCUGGGUUAACAACUUAUCUGAGCCUCAAGUAGUUUACUAUGACCGAAUACAUUGACGACCCCUCAAACUUGCUGAUCAUUUUUUAGGAGGUCUAUAUAUCAUGACUCUAGGUUUGGUGGAGGUUGAGGCAGUUUCCUUAAGUUCAAAGGUUGGGGGUACAAUCCCUGAGAUUAAAACUUCUAUGGCUUCCCGUGCAUCACACCAGUAUUUUUCUCACCAUCCCCUUAAUGCUAGCCUAAUCACUACACUAAUUUGCUCGUACUCUUCAAAAUGUUAAUGAGUACAUGUUUGAUUCUUUUUUCCCUGCACCUGCGUAUGGGAAACUGUAAUAAUUUAAAAUCACAUUAUUUACUUUAUUUUUUAGUUUGUCCAGAACAUUACAUUAGUGAUUAGUUUCUGUUUGUUUGACUGUUACUGUAUCAUAUGCUCUAUUUAAAUCAUCUUGUAUGGUCUGUGAGCUUUACUAAAUUUAGAUGUGUGUUUGGUUGAAUAGUUACGGUGUCUUUGUAUGGUUGAAAAUGAUAGGGCUGUGAUAAUUGAUUGUUAUUAAGAAUCUGGAACCUAGCAUUAUUGUUUCAGGACUGUAUGUAGGCGGGGCAGCCCGUAUUCUCGGGUUUGCAGCCAUGGCAGUGUCAAAGAACUCAUUGCCUGAGUAAUCACUUAUCUGAGACUCAAGUCUUAUUGCUAUGACUGAAUAUGUUGAUGGCCUCUCAAACUUACUGAUAAUUUUUUAUAAGGUUUAUAGAUCAUGACUCUGGCUUUGGUGGAGGUUGAGGCAGUUAUAUUUGGUUCAAAGAUUGGGGCCACGAUCUCUGGGACUAGAACUUCUAUGCAUUUCGAUGUAACUCUAACUACAUCAUUGAUAUCCUCAUUCACUACACUAUAAUUGUCACACAAGUAUUUUUUCUGGUCAUCUCUAUACUGCUAGCCUAAUCACUACACUAACUUGAUCGUACUCUUCAAAAUGUUAAUGAAUGCAUGUUUGAUUCUUUUUCCCCCGCACCUACGUAUAGGAAACUAUAAUAAUUUAAAAUCAUAUUGUAUACUUCAUUUUUUAGUUUGUCCAGAACAUUCAUUUGUGAUAAGUUUCUAUUUGUUAUUACUUUAUCAUAUUCUCUAUAGAAAUCAUCUUCCAUGGUCUGUGAGCUUUACUAAAUUGUGAUGUGUGUUCGGUUGACUAGUUACGAUGUUUUUGUAUGGCUGAAAAUAUUUUUUCUAAAUAAAAUCUAUAUUAAGUUAUCAAUGAGGAUAACAAGUGACGUGAUUUUCAUAAAUCACCUUAAAAUAGGCUGUGAUGAUGAAUGCUGCUUUCUAGAAAAUUUACAUAACUGUGUGGAGAAAUCUUACUUGUGUCUUGGGGGGUGACCUGGUAUAGCAUUCAUUUGCAAACAUUGUCUGCAACCAUGACAUGUUGGUUUCUUUCUCUUUCAUGUUCACAAAAAAGCAAAAUCUGAGCCUUGAAUUUUCCAAGAAUGAUAAAUAUGCGUCCUUAUUCUCUAAGGAUGAUAGAUCCAUAUUAAUAACUUCAAGAAUUUCAGACAUAUGACUAAAAAAUAUUAUCAAGAAGAACAACAAUAUUUAAUUAGAAAAUAAGAGGAACGGGACGAGGUAGAAGUGGAAGAGGAGGUGCGGGACAUGGAUGCGGCCGUGGUAGUUUUCCAAAACGUUUAAGUUCUGAUACAAUGUCUCAGCCACAAAUACAACCAAUAGGAGUUGUUGGGACUUCUUUAGAGACUGGACAAUCAUCUAAUCCAAGUGAAGGACCUCUGGAAACAUAGCAAAUGCAAGCAGGCCCUAUCCAAAGGACAUCCCCCAGAGACACAAUCAUCAAGAAAUCUAGAUGAAAGUGUACGCCUUAGUGUAGAGGCUGAAACUGGUGCAGGUUAGUUCACUUUGUUGGGUUAAUCUAACUAUACAUUUUGUUUUAUAAUAAUAUAUUCUUUUGGUUUGUAGUUUCCCACAUCAAUAAAAAGAAAAGAAAAGGGAAAUACAAAUCCAAAACUGUGGAUUUUAAGUUUAAACAUGGAUGAAAAAUUAAAAUAAUGAUUCUAAAUGACAUUGAUAGAGCCGUGGGUUCAAGAGCUAGAGACAUUUUCAAUUACUGUGGUUGGAUCAUGAGAACCACUAUCUCAUUUCAAGAUGGAAGUUGGCAGAAGAUAGUUCUAAAACAUAGAGAAGCAAUGUGGUAUAGGGUCAAGGUAAUGACUUAAUAUUGUAUUGGUUUCUUUCUCUUGUUUGGCUAUUACUAUAUCAUAUUCUCUAUGGAAAACAUCUUAUAUGUUCUGUGAGCUUUAGUAAAUAGUGUUAUGUAUUCGGUUGACUUGUUACUGUGUCUUUGUAAGAUUGAAAAUAAUUUUUCUAUUGUCUGCAGCCAUGACAUGUUGGUUUCUUUCUUUUUUAUGUUCAUAAAAAAAGCAAAAUCUGAUCUUGGAAAGCAUCUUACUUGACUGUUACUGUAUCAGAUUCUAUGUGGAAAACAUCUUACAUGGUCUAUGAGCUUUAGUAAACUGUGUUGUGUGUUCGAUUGGCUAGUCAACGUGUCUUUGUAUGAUUGAAUUUUUUUCUGGAUAAAAUCUCUAUUUAGUUAUCAAUGAGGAUAACCAGUCACGGGAUCUUCACAAAUUACCAAAAAAUGGGUUGUGAUGAUGAAUGCUUCUUUUCGGGCAAUUACAUUACUGUGUGGAGAAAUCUUACCUGUAUCUUACGGAGGCGACCUGGUAUAGCAUUUGCAAACCUUAAUUGUCUGCAGCCAUGAUAUGUUAGUUUCUUUCUCUUUCAUGUUCACAAAAAAGCAAAAUCUGAGCUUGGAAGUUGACUUGUAAGGUUGUGUUCUUGGAAGUAAAUCUUGUAGACCAAACAGUAUUUUAAUAUUAUUAUUUAACACCAAAUAGUAUUUCUCAGUUUCUGUUUGUUUAACAAAUGUGCAGGAUAAAUUUGAAGUUAAAAAUGGGCUGCCAGAGCAUAAGUUGCAAGGUUUUGUGGUAAGCACUAUGCAACGACUUUUUAGAGCAUGGAAAGCUUGAUUACAUGUUAUCUGCUCUAGAUAUAGCAAUGAUAAAGAUAGAUUGUUGCAUCGUCCGGAGGAUGUUGAGUUGGAUGACUGGAAGCACUUAGUGGAACAUUUUGGCAGUGAUAAAUUCAAGGUAACAAACACAUAAUUGAAAUUUGGUUUGAGAAAAUAUAGGUCUAUACCUUCAAAUAUAACUGCUAUACACCCUUAUACCUAGAUAUUUUUCUUAUCAUAUCAAGUUUUUUUGGUUAAUGGCAAGCCAAGUAACAACACCUCUUUUGCAAUUUCUUAGACUAGCGUAUUUCAAAUGCAGAAUGGUGAACCUGCUACUUGAUGUUUCUAUCUUAUAGCCUGACUUCUAUCUGUUCACAUAAGUGCAGGUCGUCAGUGAGAGAAACAAAAGAAAUUGAUAAAACAUACAACUAAACAUUGUUGUGGUUCAAGAUCAUUUGCAGAAUUAGAGGAAUCUACGGUUAAGAUACAUCAUAUUUGUUCCCUUAUUAUUACAUAUACUUAUUUGAUAGUUAUAUAAUUCUAUAUAAUUUUUUGGUUAUGUAAACAUAUUUUUCCUUUUGAUAUUGUAGAGAAAUCCUCUAACAGGAGAAAAAGAUACACCAGAUAAAAUCUGGGAGAUCCAACACACACGUAAGAAUGUGAAUAGAGAACGUGUAUGGCUGGAUCCUCAAUCUGAACAGAUUCAUGUAAUUUUCUGAAAUCACUACCAUAUUACCUUUUUUAUGUACUAUAAGUUACUCUCAAUAUAUUAACCAAUGGUUGUAAAUGGUCAUCAUUAUAGGGACAACUCCAGCAACUUUUUAUUGAACAACAGUCCGAAGAGAUCGAGCUUCGCAUGACCAGAGAUGAGAUUUUGACUUCGGUUCUUGGUGAGAGAUCGGGAUAUGUUUGAGGAAAAGGAUAUGGUAAGAAGCCUCCUAAAAAGAAUCAAACACAACAGGCAAACAUAGAGGCUAGCGUGUCUUCAGCGGUAGAAAGUAUGCAUCAAGAGAUGCAACUUGACAUGGAAAGAAAGGUGCAAGAAGAGCGUGAACAAAUGGCUGCCAAUUUGAAAAAAGAUAUGGAUCAAGAUUUGCAAAAGAAACUGGAAAAGGAGCGUGACACAUGAAAGGAGAAGUAGAAAAAAUGUUUCAAGAAAAAAUGGAUGCUCUCAUGAUUGGAAUGCAUCAGGUACUUUCUUGUCCAACUCAUUGUCCAAAAACGAACCAUCAACACUUUGACAUUCUUUUUUCUGCAAGCCACAAAUACAAAUUCAUUAUUUGCAAAUGAAAAUGUGAAAAUAAGCUAAGGAAAAUGAAAUUCUAUAAAUAUUACCAAAGAAAGAAAACAAAGGAUUAUUAGUCAUUAGUGUAAUUUCCUGUGAUUGAUUCUUUGUAGUAAAACUAGCCAUUGACAUUAUUUUUUUCUUUGUUUCUUGCUUUUUACUCUCUUUGGUGAUUGUUUGUCAGUGUAAUUCUAUCCACUCCCCUUAGAUCUCUUGAAUGUAAUAAUCUGUUUAUCUUACAUGAUGGUAUGAAUUUAUUGACCCACCAUAUCAUUUUCCCUCUUAUUAUUGGAAUAAUUUUCUAAAAGCUAGUUCAAGUGGGGAUACAUUUGCAUUGUAUUUCCAGAAUCUUUGUCAAACUAUGGAAUUUCUUAAAGCUUGAGAUUUACGUCAGAAAAGAUAAAAUUGAAAAAACAAAUAUACAGAAAGUAUAGGAUUUUCUUGUUAAGAUGUAUAGGUUAUAGAACCUGUUGAAAAAGUAUAUCAUUUUCUUGUUAAGACGUAUAUGUUAUAGAACCUGUUGAAAAAGUAUAUCAUGGACUUGUUUUCCUUUGGAUUUGAUGGGUCAAAUUGGUCUGACCACUAAGAGCUAGGGUGUAUAGUGCUGUGUAGGGGAGAGCAACAGGUUUGUCUGAAUUGGAGUGUACUGACUAAUUGCUAGCUACAGGUUUUUUUGAAUUUGGAAGUACCAUUUUCUGGUCUAAAAAGUUUACAAUCUUUUGAGAUAUUAGAUUGGAAAUUGAUCUAUUAAGAUAUUAUAUUGAAAGUACCAUUUUCUGGUCUAAAAAAUUUACAAGAUUUACGUACACUUUAAUCUUUUCAGGGGUGUAGUUGGAAAUAAUCAUUUCAGGGGAGAACUUGCCACCUCAUUAAUGAAAUCUUCACCACUGCCUUUUAGUUCAUUCAGUAUAUGUAUGUAUUUUUUUCUAUAAUCAUAAAGUGACUUAGUGUAUUUUAAUGGCAAGGGCGUUCUUAAACAAUGUGUUGACUAAGGAGGAGCAUGAAGGCGUAGAAUGUAUGCUAGAUUUUUUAUCAUAUGUAUGAAUAUGAUAAAACUAAAGUACUAUAUAUAUAUCAUUAUUAAUGUAUGUAUCGUUGAUUUCUUAGUAAGUGAAGUACUUGUAAUAUUUAGUCGGAGAAUGAUUUUGUAAAAUGCUAUGGGAUAAUUUUAAUAGCUAAUAUUAUAUGUAGUUCUUAAAUUUGUUGUCAAUUUUGUCUAAUGUAGGUAUUGAAUAAAUUCAAUUCUUUGGUUGAUGAAAACAAUAUUUAUAUUUGAGCACAAAAUUUAAUCUAGUGGCAAAAUGAGACUUGCCACUAAUGAUUAAGCAGAUAUGUGGCAAUGAAUUUUGCUAUUAUAAUUUUAUUUUUAGCAACAAGAUAUAAGAGUCACCACUAAUAUUUAAAGAUAUAAGAGCAACAUGGGUUGCUACUAAUAUAAAUAUGUGGUCACUAGUGAUACUAAUUUUGUGGCGACAAAGGUUGCUGCUAAUAGAAAGUUUUUUGUGGCGAGAAAAAACUCGUCACUGAUGAUAGUUAUUUUGUGGGGAGAAAUAAUUCAUCACAGUUAAUAGCAAGGGUUUUGUGGCGAGAAAUGAGUCGUCACAAAUAAUGGUAAUUUUGUGGCGAGUAAUAAGUCGUCCCGGAUAAUAGAUAGGUUUUUGUGGCGAGAAAUAAGUUGUCACAGAUGAUUGAAAUUUUAUGGCGAGAAAUAUGUCGUCGCAAAUGAAGGUGAUUUUGCAGCGGUAAAGUCGCUGCUAAUUUUUGUAUAUCAAUGGUGACCUAACCAAUAUGUGUUUUGUCAAAAUACAAUUUGCAGCAAAAUUGUCUACCUUUUGUAGGAAUAAAACUUGUCACAAAUACUUUUCUAUUGUGGCGACCUUACUUUGUCGUUACAAAUAACCUUUAGUUUCAGAAGUACUACCAAUGCCAUAUUUGUCGCUGCCAAAAGUCUUUAGUGCGACAUUUCAUCCUUUAGUGGCGACUUUUUUCGCCACCAAAAACCAGAUUUCUUGUAGUGUAUAAAUAAUUCAUAAUUUAAUAUUCCCUAUAGGUACUAAGUAACACAUAAUAUGUAUGAGUGUAUAAAGUAGAUAUGAAGAUAAAUUUUUUUUAUGUUAAUAUCUUCUUGAAAUGAUAGAGUUUAGGUAUAUACCUUUUGACUUUCUUUCUAUAUUGGUUGUAUCAACACCACAGUUUUUCUCCUUUCGGCUAUGAAGAACUAUUUAGCCUAUUGCAAUUCACUGUCUCAGGCUACUGUUCCAUUCUUCCUCCAUCGAGGCUGAAGAUCGCAACCCUCAUUUAUCACCAACAUAUAAAAAUGAGAAAAGAUAUAUAAAACAAACCUUUUAUUGCAUAAAGAUAUUACAACAUAGGAAAAAUCUUAGAAAAAUAUCUUUUAUAACAUAUUUGUCACUUUUCCUUUGUGGGAGAAGUGUUUCUCACUCACUCAUAUAGAAGAUACCUAGCAUUUUCUAAGAAAGAGAUAUUCAGAGAAAUGUAGUCUAUCUUCUACAAGUUUCUAUCUCUCCUUUUAUAGAUAUAAGUAGGGGUAGAAUUACAAUAUUUAGUUUUAUUAGGGCCAUUCCUUUAAAAGUAUUUAUUUCUUAUCUAGUCCCUUAUCAGGAUAAGAGAUAAGAUUUUUCUCCUUUCUGAUUGGCCAUUUUUGGUCCAUGGGGUCUCCUUUAUCAUUUUGUCGUCUGGUGCCGACAAUUUUAUUGACAUAAGUGCUUACGUCUUUACUUUCAUUGGAUUCUAUUUUACAGCUAUAAAUUACAUUUCUUCAAACAUUGAUGAGCUUUAUCCAUGGUCCAAGUUUUUGGAGUAGCUGAAAAUUAGUGUGUUUCGAACUCAGUGAUUUUGUCCCUUAAGACUACUGAUUUUGAUUUUCCUUUGGUCAUUAAAAUCCAGUUUGUAUCUCUGUUGAGGACUUUAUAAUUUUCUUCGUAUUGUUUUUAAGGAUGUUAUAUACUUCUUUCAUCCCUAAGGCUCGUCUGGUUUGGAUCUAUUUUUUAUUAAAAUAGGAGAUUUUUUUAUCAACUCCUAUCGCGUUGCUAUUAAAGUCUCUUAAUUUUUCCACCGUUAUAUAGUUAAAUAUGGGAAAAUAUAGUUGAUUAUUUUGAGAUUCCAUUGCAAUGCUAUAGAAUCUGCAAUAUACUGCUUCAUCUUUGGCAUAGUUUCUGAUUGAACUGAUUAGAUGUAUCGGUAGUUCUUCUAAUUCAGAUAAAUCUGAUUUAUAAUAUACUCGAUCUAAGUAACUGAAUUCAAAUAAUUUGGUUGUGAAACCGGUUGAUCCUCCUAGGAAGAUAGAAAUCCUUAGAUAUAAACUUUUUGUUUCGAUGACUCCGAAAGUUUCUCCACUGGUUUCUAGUAGAUUGUAAAUCUGAUUUGUAAAUGUCAAAUAUUAUUCCUCCUUCGGAUGGACUUUUCCUACCUGAAAAGAAGAAAACUUGUUUCUUAAAGAGAAGUUAGUUCUUUUUUCUGAAUUCUCAUAAGUUAUUUCAAUUUUUACUGAUUUUAUUACUUUAGAGAAUUUUCUCUGUAUUUGUGCUCGAAUUUUAGCUUUGUCUGAAGACUCGGCCAUUGGCAUAUCCAGGCUUACCGUCGAGAUAUUUUUUGCUCUAGGUGCUAGUGGGACAUCUCCUGCCACUUUAUUAGCUCGAUUUUUAGCUUUGUCUGAAGACUCGGCAUUGGCAUAUUCGGGUUGCUUACCAUCGAGAUAUUUUUGGCACUAGGUGCUAGUGGGACAUCUCCUGCCACUUUAUUAGGGAUGAUUUGUCAUCCCUUAGGUCUGGUUUCUAGAUGCUCACAUAGAAGUUGGAAUUCUGCCAUGUUUUCAGCUUGAUCAGUGUUAAGCCGACUCAAUUCAAAUUGUAAUUUUUUUGCCGUUUCAGACAAGGUUACAAGUUCAUCUUGGAUUUUGAACAGCAUGUUGCUUUUUUCAUUUAUGGCAUCGUCAAUGUUAUUCAUUCUUUGCCAUAUUCUGUUGAUCAGUACUUGAGUUCUAUCGUCCAUAUUGGACAUUUCUUGAAAGAAAAUCUACAAAAAUAUUGUCAAAUCCUUUAACAUUUUUAAUUUUAAAAGUAUAAAAUAAUAAUAAUACCUGCCAUCUAUAUAACCUUCUGUACUAUGGUUCUGAAGGUAGUUUAUUGAAUAUCAGUCCUAAUAUUUGUGUAUUUGUAUGUUUUAACGACAAAUGUUUUGGUAAUAAAAAUGUAGAAAACUUUCAUGUUCUUUUUAUUACCGCUAAUAGUUCUUUUUCAUUUGUGGAAUAGUUUACUUCAGCUUUGUUAAAUGUCCCACUUGUAUAUCUACAGAUUUCAUUUAAAUCUGUUUGUAAUAGUGCUCCCCAAUGAUAGUCGGAAGCAUCAGUUUGUAAAAUCAAAUUAUUUUCUAGUUUUUGUAAUCUAAGCUUUGGUAGCCUAGCACACUCUUCUUUUAAUUUUUGAACACAAAGAGUAUGUUCAUUAGUCCAUCCAAGUCGAUUUGACUUUCGAAUGAGUUUUUGCAAAGGAUUUCUCUUUUUAGCAAGAUCCGAAAUAAAUUCUCCUGCAUAAUUCAAACAUACAAGAAAUUUUUGUAUUUCUUGUUUUGUUGUUAGUAUAUCAGGAAAUUCUGUUGUUUUCUUUGAAAUAUGAGAUUGUAACUCUAUUUCAUUCUUUGAAAUUAUCAUUCCUAAGAAUUCUAUUUCAUUUUUGCUUAUCUCCACUUUCUUUUAGCUUAGGACAAUUUCACUUUUAACACAAAUAUUUGAAAAUUCUUUCAAAUGUGUUAAGUGUUCUUGGUAGCUUUCUGAACAGACUAAAAUAUCAUCUAGGUAAACGAUUAGGAAAUUCUUUUCAGAAAAUAUUCUAUCCAUCUUUCUUUGAAAAUUUUGUGGUGCAUUCUUUAGUCCAAACGGCAUUACUAACCAUUCAUAAUGCCUAUUAGGAGUGCUAAAUGUUGUUAGAGGGACUGAUUCCUCUGCAAGUUUAAUUUGUCAAAAUCCACUUUUGCAAUCAAACUUUGAAAAGUAGUUUUUUCCUUUUGCAAGGUUAAUUAAAUUGUUUUUAUUUGGAAUAAAAUAUCCAUAAAAAAUAUUAUUUUUAUUUAGCUCUUUAUAGUUUAUGAUCAUACGAGUUUUUCCUCUUUUUUGUUCUGCGUGGUUUCUUACCAUAAAUGCAGGACUACUGCGUGGACUCCUAGUUGCCCUUAUUAAUUUAAGAUUAAGGAGUGUUCUUGUAUCUGAAUUUUAAAUUCAGUUUUAUCUUCUUCGUUAUAAAGCAUUGGUUUAACUCUUAUGAUGAUACUAGCAUCUUUAAGAGUUAAAAUCGUUUUUAACACUUAACAUGGGUAUCGUUUUUAACUCUUAUUUCUAUUAGCUCAACCUUCAAACUCAAACAUAGAUUUUAACACUUAACAUGGAUAUCACCAAGUCUUUGACGAACCAUACUACUUCCAUCAUAGCAUACCAAUAUCGCGACUCCAAACUUAUAUCUCUCUACCAUGAGAAUCAAGAUCAUAUAAAAAGGUUUAACUCUAUCAAUCAAAACUACUUAACUUGGCUAUCUAGCACACCAUAUACCAUCUAACUAGUCUUUCUCCACCUAGCAACUCAACGGUACCACUUUCCACACAUAAAAUGUAAUAGCCUUAGAAAAAUUACCGCAACGUUAUAUCACCUUGGGCAUACUUCUACAUCAUACAUACAACAUCAUACUUCAUUACAAAUCAAAUAAAGUUAAGCCAUUGCAUACACCGCUCAAGCCUAUUAGAUCACUUUCAUAUAACUAGUAUCAUUAACCAAGAAAUCAUCACAUCCACCUUUAUGGACAUCAACUGUUCAAACUUAAUAUCUAGUGCUAAGCAUGAUUUACAACCCAACCUGACACACAAUUCUCACAAAACAUUCAUCGUUAAUCUUAAGCCACUAUAUUUACAUCUACAUCCUAUAUUAAAUUCAAGCCAAUAGUCUAGCAUCAAUCAUCUACCAUCAAUGAAGAAGGCAACAUUAUAUACUAGUCUAUCAAAUUAGGACAUCCUAUCCAAAUACCUCAAAAAUCUACUACAUACCUUCUCACAAGUAGUACUAUUUUACAACUACAAACGAAAAGAAGGUCAAGGGGGUUAAAGUCUCAUAAUAGACAUGGUCAACCUUAAUCUUAUAUUAUAACCCCAUACAAUCUUAUCUACUUAUACAACUUUCUCACAUAACAUUUAAUUUCCCAAGCAUACAUUUAGACUACCUUCAAAUUCCACAAACAACCAUGAGUCUAUAAUUAUAACUUAUUGGCUCAUCUAGCCAUUUUCAUACUUCAAGCAGACAAUAAUUCACCUUAACUAAUAACUCCUUCUCCACCUUCUACUACACUAACACACAAGGAUGUAUCACUUCAUUACCAACUCAAUCUCAUGUGAAAAGAUUCGACUAUACAUAUACUCAACCAACACAAGAACAACAAGUUGAACAACAAGUUGCUAGUGAAUCGAAAUAGGCCUCACACGGCUUCACUAAACUUUGAUUUUUGUGUUUUGAAUAAGAAAAUGAAAAGAAUAACAAAGAAACUAUGCUAGUGAAUGAAAAGAGCCCCACACGGCUUCACUAGACUUUGAUUUCAACAACACGAUUAUAACAAGAUUACAAGAGAUAGAAAAUUGACACACAAUAAUCAAUGAUCUAAGAAUACACAUCUUACUCUGUAUAAAUAAAAAUUUGAGUCAAAACACUUCCCCCACAGACUACCAUACAAUCCACACAUGUUAUUAACUACCACAUUAGUCUAUCACUAUAAAGUGGUAAAUCAUCCUCAAACAUCAGUUACUCAACUAAAAUAUUUAUUUACACAAAAGUCACCCUCACUCUAACUUCUUUGUGACUUCACAUUAUCAACUUCUUGGUCCAAUCUCACUACCAAUACGUCAUGACACCGACACUUUAACUUGUACUAAUAAUCAAGUGAAAAUACAGUUCCAACAAUUCUACUACACAUCAUUCCCCUUUUUGGCAUGACAUCUGCAACAUAAAUUUUUGAAAAGGAUUGAAUACCCUUAAUACCGCAGGCUGAAAAGCACAAUUUCAUCAGAACCAAAGUUUACACUAGAAUUAAUACACUUUGUAGCCCUAACGGACUCUUUUCAAGUCCUUGCACAAUUUUAAAAUCUUAUAUGGCUCAAUCAGAAAGGACCAUACCAUUUAAACUCUAAACUUCUACACUUGAUUCACCUCAACAAUGAGACAUAUCUGAGCACGUCAAAGUAAGGAAAGAAUUGGGAUACUUUACUUUCAUAUGGGCAACACCAUAGCAUGAAUUAGAGUAUGAAAGAGGAACAUUCUGACUCCAUAGCACGAACUAGAACAUGAAGAAAGGGAAACAUUCCUAAACGUCUAGUAGCUCCUACUUAUAAGUGUGGCACACUACACACCCAUAAACAAGACUCUACCCGAUACGAUUUUGUAGACACCCUAGGAACAUGAACUAUGCUCUGAUACCAAGUUUAUCAUAACUCAAACCGAGGCCCUGGAUGUGACGGGCAUCUCAAACCAUGAAGGCCCGAGAACCCUUCUAACUUGUAAUCACAUACACUAUUGAUGUACAAUAAAGAGAUGCAGAAAUAUAUGUAAUAAUGGAAUCACGGUCAUAAGUCUGACAUAAAUUUAAAAUGAAAGUCAAAAUCCAAAACCAUCUAAAAACAUCUAAUAACCUUCUGCAAAAUCUCUACUACAUGAUCAAAUAUAAACUACCUGAAAAUUGGGACAAGGCCCCCAGUAGACCAAAACCCUGACUAAUGAUAAAUGUCUGAAAAUAAAUUGGCCUUCUAAAAUAUAGAACGCUCGCCAACUGAACUCUUCACUUAUGUCUGAAGAAAUCUACUGCUUAUCAAGACCCCUAGAUUGUGCCUCAGAACUUGGAGGGUAAGGGGGUCAAUAUAAUUGUACUGGUACGCAAAGUAAUCCAAAAUAAAGCUUUUAUAUAAAUAAAAUAAUGGAGAGCAAUUUGUCAAAACAUCAUACAUAAAAUAGUUUUCAAAACACAUGGGCACUUUUCUGAAAAAUCAUAAAUCAUUCUUGACAAAGCAGUUUCUGAUCUUCGUAUUGAUUCUGAGUUAGGUGGUACACCCCUACGAGUCUAAAAUUCCACGGGCUGUAUGGAAUCCGUCAUUGACUCGAUGGGUAAGCCCCCUACCCAAGUGUUCCACAAGGGUUGGAGUCUCUGAAUCUACUAUGCCACAGGGUCGUCGCCAGCGUACAAUAAUAUACCCGGAUUGGAAAAUCUAGGUUUUAGGCAAUGAGUUGUCUAAACUCAUGCCUUCUCCAGGGGACCACCUAACAUCUCUUUAUGCCCAAUUUUAUCUAUUUCUAAACAUAUAUCAUUCUGAAAUCUCAAGUCAUAAAAAGAAUUUGAUUUCUAUGUUUGUCUGAAUCUGUUAUAGUAUUGUCUAUUUUGGUAUCGUCAUACCAAGACUUUGCAAGUUCUAUUUCUGAGCCAUAUUGUACCAUACAUGAUUCUUACAUGAAAACUCAAUUCAGACCACCCAAACAUGCAAUUAAUUUAAGAGAUGUCAUGUUCCAAAACAUAAGUCAAAAAUAUGCAAAAUUCCCAUCCUUUCAAUAAACAAGUGGUGGUCAUGUAAUCUUUAACAAAUCAUCCAACCCUUCUCAUUAUAUGAUUAUGUUCAACAUUCAUCAACAUAAACAACCCUCUCUCUUUUGAAAUCAAAAUCAUAAUCCAAAUAUAAUAUUAUUCAAGACAUUUCAUAACAUGCUUUUCAAGAUGCAUUCAAAUGAUUUCAUAGUAUUUCAUAAGUAAAUGAAAAUCAUCACAGGAGAGGGAUUUUUCAUGAAUCAUGAUCUCAAUUUAAUUAUCAACCUUAAAACACAUGCUUACAAUAUAUACAUAAUUUCAAAUCAAUUUGGAGGAAGGACUAAAGGCCAAAACAAUAUCACCAAUGCAUCUAAAACACAAUUAUAUUCAUAAAUUCAAAACCCUCAUUCUUAAAAUCAUGAUUUCUAUACCCAUGAGAUUUGAGGAAAACCCUGCGUACCUUAAAUUAGAAGCUUUUGAAUGCUCUAGGUUUUGGAAUGCUAUACGUACGAUUGAUGGGUGCCUCUUGUAACUCUCGCAAUGGGGAUUCCGAAUCUUGAAGAAUCAAGAAUAUCCCACGGUUAAAUCUUGAGAUAUUUGGGUUUUUAGUUUGAAACCCUAGGGUGAGUUCUGGAUGAAUUUGAGAGAAAAGAAUCAUAUUUUGGUGUUUUGGGAGUUUAAUCUCGUGUUAUAACUGGAUAAGGAUGGAAGAUACCUAUUUUUCCCUUGAAAAUGUGGAACCAAAACCUGAAAUUUUGGUGCGUGCGAUAGGGCGUGCAUCGUACGCUUAUCGCAUGAUGCUACUGUCUCAGUCACUAAAAUGGCCAUAACUUUUCUCUCGAGUAUCGAAUUCAGGCAAAAUUAGAAUCAUUGGAAAGCUAAUUCGAAAAGCUUUCAUUUGAUAUAUAGUAAGACCUCUAAUUCAUUAUAUACAAAGAGUUAUGGUCAGUUGAAUUUGACCCAAGUUUCGAAGUUCACUCAAACUCGAACGAUAGGAAAGGUUUUAACUCGUCCUUGAUUUAGGGGAUCUCUAUGAUCUUAAUUGAUGCUUAAAUAGAUUAACAUACUACAUAAUUGAUUAACAUGACAAAUUUGCAUAGGAUUUAUGACUUAUGGAUCAUAUAUGCAUAAAAAUGAUGGUUUUUAUUCUAGCACAAAAUGCGGGGUGUUACAGGGCACAAUGAUGGUGAAAGAGUAUUCUCUUAAGUCUACUCAAUUAGCCAGAUAUGCUCCGCAUGUGGUUGUAGACAGUAGGUCAAAGAUGAGUAAGUUUGUGUCACGGGUGAAUGAUAGCAUAGUUAAUGAGUGUAGAUCCACUACGCUGAAUAGUGACAUGAAUUUAGCCAGACUUAUGACCCAUGCUCAGCAGAUAGAGGAACAAAAGAUUAAGAUGAAGGAAAAGUAGAAUAAGAGUGCAAAGACAAGUAGUUUUUGCUUUGCUUAGCCUAAGUCAAGAGGUGGUAGCCGUACUCAGAAUAGACACAACCUUUCAGUCCCAGCUCCAUCUUCAGCUAGUGCACCAGUACCCAAGUUUGGGAAUGACAGUCGUGAUAGGUCGCAAGGUUUUGAGGCUCAGGAUAGUGAGAAUAGGAGUCUUACCUAGCCACUUUGUGAAGAGUGUGGUAAGAACCACCUAAGUAUAUAUAGAACAGGCAGUGAGGUAUAUUAUGGAUGUGGUAAGCGAGGCGACAAGCUACGGGAAUGUAGAGUAAGGACUCAAAAAGGAAAAGAUUUACGCCAGUAGUGCGUCACUUCCAGUACCACUAGUGGUCAGCAUCACAAAAGGUUUUACACUUUUUAGACUCACCCUGAUCAAGGAAAUUCGCUCGACAUAGAUUCGGGUACAUUAUAGGUCCUUUAUACUCAUGAUAUGCAUUGUUAGACCUCUUUUUCUCAUUUUAGGUUAAGAUUUUUAGCAUGAGUUAUUCAGUCAUGAAUCAGUUCGUGGAUGCCCUGUGCAUCACCCCCAGUAUCUUAGUAAGGUGUGCGUUCUUAGAGAGACAUAGUGUCCCAAGGGGGAGAUACCGUAGUAUUCCGCAACGUCCUCAUGUCUUAAAUUAAGUUUCUUCUUGCAUAAGGAAUCCAGUUUAGAAUAGAGGGUAAUCAUAAGUUGACCCUCAAAGUCUCAACCUCAGCUAUUGGCCAAGUAUUCAGAGGCUUAGUUCAUUUCAUGAAAUUUAGUUUAUGUAUCAUGUUUCAGCCUCAGUCAUGUUCUCAGGUUCCAGUUCAUGCAUACUUCUAGCAUAAUCAUGAGGUCAUCAGUGCUUUUCAUUCACAUAACAGUUUUAUUAAACUUACUCUAUUCCCUAUUUAAAUUACCAUUACAAACUUGGUAUUCAGUUCAUGCUCAGAUCCCCAUUACAAACUUGGUACUAAGUACCCUUGCAUAUUCAGUCAUGCAUUCAUAUAUCAGUUCAGUCAUGUAAUUAUACAUCAGACAUGCAUUCUCACUGCGGGAAAUUUAGUUCAUCAGAAUAUUCAGACAUUUAUUCAUGAGUCAAUUACCAGUCAUGCAUCAGGUAUGCAUGAAUUCAGAUUAUUAGUCAUGCAUCAGAUAUGCAUGUUCAGUAUGUUAUAUUCAGAUCUUCAGUCAUGUCAGUCAUGAUAUCAUGUUUCAGUUAUUCAUGUUCAAGUAAGCCAUGUUAUGUCAGUUUCUUCUCAUCGAGUCCUGGGGGUACUUGUACCCGAACAUUUAGCUGUGUGCCUAGAGCCAUGUCAUGUUUUCACGAUCUCCUCAGUCAAGCUAUGAUCCAUAGAACUCAGUUAGUCAUGUGACUCAAGAAAUCUUAGAAAUCUCAAUAAUCUCAGUAAUCUCAGUAGUUCAGUAAUCUCAAUGAUCUCAGUACUCAGUAAUCUCAGUAACUUUAGUAUUCCCAGUCAAUCUUAGUAAAUUCAGUAUUCUCAGUCAGUCUUCAGAACUCAAUACAUUCCACCAGUCAACGGAACUCAGUAAAUUUAGUUUAGCUCCACUAAACAAUACCACUAGUAUCAGUUCAAUUCAGUUAAUCAGUUCAGCCUAAUUAAUUAGUUCAGUGUCUUUCAGAUGGGAGUAGAAUUCAGCACCGAGCAAGCCUAGGGAUGAGGACUUACCCACUAGAUAGUACUAAGAUCCCUAGAAGUAAUCCCUAAGUUUCAGAAAUACGUAGCCAACAUAGGUACGAGAUGUCACCCGUUAGAUAGAACUGACAUACUCAGGGCUUACCCGUUAGCACAUUUAAAUGUAUACGACUGAUCCCAGGGGUUACUCGCUAGAUUAAGACUGACUCCACAAUAGUUGUCUUUACCAGUGGUGCGGUACUGACAACCUUCCAUCUGGGGUUACAGGUUGGUCCCCAGUUAGCUUAGUAUGGGGCAUGUCGGUUAGAUGAAUACAUCCCAUAAUUUUAUUUAUAGAAUCAGGACUGUCAGAUACAGUCAAUUCAGCUUAGUAGUAUAGAUUUACGACUGUCAAAUACAGUCAGUCCUUAUCAUUAUAAAUAGACUCCGGGAUCACCCAUUAGAUAGGACUGAUCUCAACUAUGGUCAAUCAGUAAUGGUAUCAUCAGAUUUAGAUAUCACCCGCCAGAUAGGACUGAUCUCAGAUUCAAUUACCCAGAUACAGUACGAAACUCAGCUAGUUCCAUCAGAUUUAGGACUGUGAGAUACAGUCACUCAUGUUAUCAGUUAUAUCAGUUAUCAGAACUCAUGUUAUCCAUAUUCAGCUUUAGGACUGUUAGACACGGUCAACCAGACCAGUUCUUUAUAAUUAGAACCGUUAUAAAUAGUUAUUUAUGUAUCAGUAACAUAGUAUCAGUCCCUCAAAUAUCAGUAAUUUCAUGUUAUUAGUAAACUCAAUAGUUAAAACUUAGCAAUCAGUCCUAUCACAAUGUCAGUUACAGUUACGUAUGCAUACAUGUAUUCUCACAUUCAUGUUAGUUAGUCAGUUAGUAUUGUUCAUGCAUAUGAACCUAUUGCAUUAAGCCUACCUCACUUGAAUACCAGUACAUUUAAAGUACUGACACUUUUGCGCUAUGGUUUCUUAUGCCAUAGGUUUAGAAGCACGAUCUCCAGAGCAUCAGUAACAUCCCGAUUCAGCAAUCAGAGUCAGAUAUGAGUCCUCGUCCUUUGAGGACAUGAUGAUUACAUUACUAUUUUAGUUUUUAGUUUAUUUCAGUAAAUGGAGUUAGUUGGGAACAUAUCCCAUCAACUUCUUAUUAAGUUCAAUUUAGAGGCUUUCAGUCUAUAGCAUGUCAAACAGCUAUUUAAGAUUUUCUUUAGUAUUGUUUUAUCAUUUUCAGACAUUGUUUUAUCAGAUGUUUAUCCAGUUUGAAACUUAUGACCUUUCAGUAUAUGUUUCCGUAUUUAUACAGUAUAUUAUGCAGUGAUUAGGUACAGAUAUUAGUCAUGAAUUAGCUUGUGGUCCUUCGGGGUCUUGGGCACCGUGUGGCAUUUCGGGUACCAGAUUCGGGGCGUUACAAACUUGGUAUCAUAGCCUAAGGUUCAAUAGUGUCCUAGGAAGUCUAAAAAGCCACAUCUAGUAAAGUCUUGUUCAUGCUUGUGUUGUGCACCACACUUAUGUGUAGGAGGCUAUGAGGUGUUUUAGGAAUAGUUUCCCUUCUUUCGGUAUUCAUGUCAAGCCAGUGAGCAUAAUCUCAAGUCAAUCUCUUAGUCUAAUCUGUUUCUCCCUUUCUUUUAUAGAACAUGCCUCCUAAAAGAAAAAACGAAAAUCAGUCAGCCCCUCAGCCCGAAGAACCUUUGGGCGAUCAUGUUUCUCAUGCGGAGUUUAGGGCCGCAUUCACUACUCUUGCUCGUUCAAUUGCUACUCAUAAUGAAUGACCAAUUGUCGUUCCGGCUAACUCAGAAGCCAAUUCAGCAGCAGCCAAGAUUUGGGACUUCACUCGAAUGAACCCUCCAUUCUUUCUUGGGUCUAAGUCAGAUAAGGACCCUCAAGAAUUCCUACAUCAAAUUUAGAAGGUGAAUGACAUCAUAGGGGUGACUACUGUUGCGAGUGCUGAGCUAGCCGCAUAUCAGUUGCAGGACGUGGCUCACACUUGGUUCAAGCAGUGGAAGCUAGAAAGGGCAGAUGAUACAGGACCUAUAGAAUGGGAUGAUUUUGUCACUGCAUUCGUAGAGAGGUUCUUUCCCCUAAAGUUGAGAGAAGCUAAGGUGUUAGAAUUCAUCAACCUCUAGCAGGGAACCAUGACAGUGAAAGACAAUUCUCUUAAGUUUACUCAACUAGCCAGAUAUGCUCCUCAUGUGGUUGCAGACAGUAGGGCCAAGAUGAGCAAGUUUGUACCAAGGGUAAAUGAUAGUGUGGUUAAUGAGUGUACAUCUGCCAUGCUGAAUAGUGACAUGAAUUUAGCCAGACUUAUGACCCAUGCUCAGCAGAUAAAGGAACAAAAGAUUAAGUAGAAGGAAAAGCAAAAUAAGAGGGCAAGGACAGGUAGUUUCACCAUUGCCCAUCCUAAGUCAGAAAGUGGUAGCCGUACUCAGUAUAGUCAUAAGCUUUUAGUCCAAUUUCCAUCUUCAGCUAGUGCACCAGUACCCAAGUUUGGAAAUAAUAGUCGUGAUGGGUCGCCAGGCUCCGAGGCCUAGGGCAGUGAGAACAGGAGUCUUACUUAUCCGCUUUGCGAAGAGUGUUAUAAGAAUCACCUAGGUGUAUGUAGAGCAGGCAGUGACGUAUGUUAUGGAUGUGGUAAUCUAGCCCACAGGCUGCAGGAAUGUAGAGUAAGGGCUCAAAAGGGAAAAUAUUUGCACCAGUAGAGCGUUACUUCCAGUACCACUAGUGGUCAGCGUCAGAAUAGGUUUUACGCUCUUUCGACUCGCCCCGAUCAAAGAAAUUCCUUUGACAUAGAUUCGGGUACGUUAUAGGUCCUUCAUUCUCAUGAUAUGCAUUGUCAGACCUCGUUCUCUUAUUUUAGCUUAAGAUUUUCAGCAUGAGUUAUUCAGUCAUGAAUCAGUCCGUGAAUGCCCUGUGCAUCACCCCAGUAUCUUAGUAAGGUGUGCGUUCUUAGAGGGACAUAGUGUCCCAAGGGGGAGAUACCCCAGUAUUCCACAAUGCUCUCAUAUCUUAAAUUAAGUUUUUUUUCGCAUAAGGAAUCCAGUUUAGAAUAGAGGGUAAUCAUAAGUUGACCCUCAAAGUCCCAACCUCGGCUAUUGGCCAAGUAUUCAGAGGCUUAGUUCAGUUCACAAAAUUUAGUUUAUGUAUCUGUUUCAGCGUCAGUCAUGUUCUGAGGUUCUAGUUCAUGCAUACUUCUAGCAUAAUCAUGGGGUCAUCAGUGCUUUUCAGUCACAUAACAGUUUUAUUAAACUUUCUCGAUUCCCUGUUUAAAUUACCAUUACAAACUUGGUAUUCAGUUCGUACUCAGAUCCCCAUUACAAACUUGGUACUAAGUACCCUUGCAUAUUCAGUCAAGCAUUCAUAUAUCAGUUCAGUUAUGUAAUUAUGCAUCAGACAUGCAUUCUCACUAUGGGAAAUUCAGUUCAUCAGAAUAUUCAAUCAUGUAUUCAUGAGUAAAUUACCAGUCAUGCAUCAGGUAUGCAUGAAUUUAGCUUAUUAGUCAUGCAUUAGAUAUGCAUGUUCAGUAAGUUAUAUUCAGAUCUUCAGUCAUACCAAUCAUGAGAUUAUGUUUUAGUUAUUCAUGUUCAAUAUGUAUGUUAGUUUAUGUUCUUCCUCUCACUCUCAGCCUCAUUCGAGGUUGAAUAUUCUCAAGGGGAAGAUAUUGUAAUACCCGUACUUUUCCUAGCUUGAAAUUUUUUCCCAAGAAUUUAAGAAGCUUUCUUUGAAAGAUAAAUCCACUUUUGUACACGUGGUAUUUUUAAUAUUUUCACUUUUGGACAUGUGAAAAAUUCAAUAAGCUUUCCAUCGAUACCAAAUUUGCCCAAAUCUGACACCUGGCCGAAGAGUUUGAGCCUUUUUAGUGAUACAGUGUAUCACCUGAGCCUUCAGCGCAUCGCGGAGAUAGCUCAAAUGGCAAUUUUCAAUUUCCAGUGUUGCUUCACGAUAGUGGCACGUCGCGCCAAACUUCCAGGUCGCAGACAAGGUGGCAACGCGAUAACUCCACUUUUCGCCAUCGUUCAAUUUUUAAUUUGUCACUUUCCAGUGACUUGGCGCGACAGUGGUGCAUCACGCCAAUGAUGAAAAUAGGGAAAUUUUCUCAGAAAUUAAAUAUGCGUCCUAAGGUUAAAAGGGUCAAUUUCCCACCCUAUAUAAGCCUUAUAACAUGAGAUUUGGCCAUAAUUCAAUAGCUUAUGCUCAAUUACGCAAAAAUACUCUCAAGAACAAGCCCUAGGGUUUUCAUAGAAGGUUCAAUUCCAAGGGAAAGCACUAUCAAAUUUCAAGAAUCUCUCUGUCAAUCUUCGUAGAAUCACAAGAUAAGGUACUUUCGCCCAUGAAGCAAAAGAAUCUCUUUUCUAAGUUUAAGUUUAUGGAUUUCUUUAUGAAUUUCAUGUUGGGUUAGAUUUGUUUAUAUUGAGAAUGAUCAAUUGAAUUCAAAUCCAUGUUGGGUGAUCAAUUUUAUAUGGAAUUGAUUUGUAGAGAUGUAUAUUCAUGUAAACCUGUAAAUAAACCCUAAGAUAAUGAAAUUAGAGAUGAAUCAUGAUGAUUAAUUGUUGUAUAAUGUUGUCUACAUGUGCUAUGCCUACCAUGUUUUUAUUAAAUGCCUAGAUGAAGGAACAAUGCCCAACUAGUGUGAUAUCAUGAAAUCCCCAUGUAUGUACAAGUUUAUGGAUAUCACAUGUUUGGUGAAGUACUUCAAUAUAUGAAUUAUGAAUUGUGUUGUUGGUCAUGUGCUCAAGUAAGCCAUGCUAUGUUAGUUUCUUCUCAUCAAGUCCUGGGGGUACUUGUACCUGAACAUUUAGCUGUGUGCCUAGAGCCAUGUAAUGUUGUCACGAUCUCCUCAAUCAAGCUAUGCUCCAUAAAACUCAGUUAGUCAUGUGACUCAAGAAAUCUCAGUAAUCUCAGUAGUUCAGUAAUCUUAGUGAUCUCAGUACUCAGCAUCUCAGUAACAUUAGUAUUUCCAGUCAAUCUCAGUAACUUCAGUAUUCUCAGUCCGUCUUCAGAACUCAAUACAUUCCGUCAGUCAACGAAACUCAGUAAAUUCAGUUUAGCUCUGCUAAACAAUACCACUAGUAUUAGUUCAGUUCAGUUAAUCAUAUCAGCUUAAUUAAUCAGUUCAGUGUCUUUUAGAUAGGAGUAGGAUUCAACACCUAGCGAGCUUAGGGAUGGGGACUCACCCGCUAGAUAGGACUGAGAUCUCUAAAAGCAAUCCCUAAGUUCCAGAACAAUGUAGCCAGCAAAGAUACGAGAUGUCACCCUUUAGAUAGGACUGACAUACUCAGGGAUCACCCGUUAGCACAUUUAAAAGUAUAGGACUGAUCCCAGUAGUCACCCGCUAGAUUAGGACUGACUCCACAGUAGAUGUCUUUACCAGUGGCGCGGUACUGACACCCUUCCAGUUGGGGUUACAGGUUGGACCCCAGCUAGCUUAGUAUGGGGCAUGUCAGUUAGAUAAAUACAUCCCACAAUUAAAGUUACAGAAUCAGGAUUGUCAGAUACAGUCAAUUCAGCUCAGUAGUACAGAUUUAGGGCUGUUAGAUACAAUCAGUCCUUAUCAUUAUAAAUAGACUCUGGGAUCACACAUUAGAGAGGACUUAUCUAAACUAUGGUCAAUUAGAAACGAUAUCAUCAGAUUUAGAUAUCACCCACCAGAUAGGACUGAUCUCUUAUUAAGUUACUCAGAUACAGUACGAAACUCAGCUAGUUCCAUCACAUUUAGGACUGUCAGAUACAGUCACUCAUGUUAUCAAUUAUAUCAGUUAUCAGAACUCAUGUUAUCCGUAUUCAGCUUCAGGACUAUCAGAGAUGGUCAACCAGACCAGUUCUUCAUAAUCAGAACCGUCAGAAAUAGUUAUUCAUGUAUCAGUAACAUAGUAUCAGUCCCUUAAAUAUUAGUAAUUCCAUGUUAUUAGUAAACUCAAUAGUCAGAACUUAGCAUUCAGUCCUAUAACGAUGUCAGUUACAGUUAUGUAUGCAUGCAUGUAUUCUCACGUUCAUAUUAGUUAGUCAGUUAGUAUUGUUCAUGCAUAUGAACCUAUUUCAUUAAGCCUACCUCACUUGAAUACCAGUACAUUCAAAGUACUGAUGCAUAUGUGCUAUGGUGUCUAAUGUCAUAGGUUUAGAAGCUCGAUAUCUAGAGCAUCAGUAACACCCGAUUCAGCAGACAGAGUCUAAUGUGAGUCCUCAUCCUUCGAGGACAUGAUGAUUACAUUACUAUUUCAAUUUUCAGUUUAUUCAGUAGAUGGAGUUAGUUGGGGACAUGUCCCAUCAACUUCUUAUUAAGUUCAGUUUAGAGGCUUUCAGUCUAUAGCAUGUCAAACAGUUAUUUCAGAUUUACUUUGGUAUUGUUAUACUGUUUUCAAACAUUGUUUUAUUAGAUGUUUAUCCAUUUUGAACCUUAUGGCCUUUCAGUAUAUGUUUCCAUAUUUAUACAGUAUAUUAUGCAGUGAUUAGAUACAGAUAUCAGUCAUGGGUUAGCUUGUGGUCCUUUAGGGUUAUGGGCACCAUGUGGCAUUUCGGGUACCAAAUUUGGGGCAUUACAAACUUGGUAUCUGAGCCUAAGGUUCAAUAGUAUUCUAGGAAGUCUGAAAAGCCGCAUCUAGCAGAGUAUUGUUCAUGCGUGUGUUGUGCACCACACUUAUGUGUAAGAGGCUAUGAGGUGUUUUAGGAAUAGUUUCCCUUCUUUCAAUAUUCAUUUCAUGCCAGUGAGCAUAAUAUCAAGUCAAUCUCUCAGUGGUAUCUAAUUCUCCCUUUCUUCUACAGAACAUGCCUCCUAAAAAAUGAAGCAAAAAUAAGUCAACCCCUCAGCCCGAAGAACCUUUGGGCGACCAUGUUUCUCAUGUGUAGUUCAGGGUCGUAUUCACUACUUUUGCUUAGUCAGUUUUUACUCAUAAUGAAUGACUAGCUAUCGUUCAGGCCAACCCUAUGGCCAAUUCAACUGCAGCAAUGAUUUAGGACUUCACCUGAAUGAACCCUCCAUCCAUUCUUUGGUCUAAGUCAGAUGAAGACCCUCAGGAAUUCCUACAUCAAAUUCAGAAGGUGACUGAUAUCAUGGGGGUGACUACUGUUAAGAGUGUUGAGCUACCUGCAUAUCAGUUGCAGGAUGUGGCUCAUACUUGGUUCAUGCAGUAGAAGUCAGAAAGGGCAGAUGAUACAGGAUCUCUAGAAUGGGAUGAUUUUGUCACUGCAUUCUUAGAGAGGUUUUUUCCCCCAGAGUUGAGAGAAUCUAAGGUGUUAGAAUUCAUCAACCUCAGGCAGGAAACCAUGAUGGUAAAAUACUAUUCUCUUAAGUUUACUUAAUUAGCCAGAUAUGCUCCGCAUGUGGUUGCAAACAGUAGGGCCAAAAUGAGUAAGUUUAUGUCAGGGGUGAAUGAUAGCGUGUUUAAUGAGUGUAGAUCCUCCAUGCUGAAUAGUGACAUUACUUUAGCCAGACUUAUGACCCAUGCUCAGCAGAUAGAGGAGCAAAAGAUUAAGAUGAAGGUAAAGCAGAAUAAGAGGGCAAGGACAAGUAGUUUCAGCUUUGCUCAGCCUAAGUCAGGAGGUGGUAGUCGUACUCAGUAUAGUCAUAAGCUUUCAGUCCUAGCUCCAUCUUCAGCUAGUGCACCAGUACCCAAGUUUGUGAAUGACAGUCGUGAUAGGUCGCCAGGCUCUGAGGCCCAAGGUAGUGACAAUAGGAGUCUUACCUAUCCUCUUUGCAAAGAGUGUGGUAAGAAUUAUCUAGGUGUAUGUAGAGCAGGCAGUGAGGUAUGUUAUGGAUGUGGUAAGCCAGGCCAUAGGCUGCGGGAAUAUAGAGUAAGGGAUCAGAAGGGAAAAUAUUUGUGCCAGCAGGGCGUCACUUUUAGUACCAUUAGUGGUCACCGUUAGAACAGGUUUUACGCUCUUCAGACUCGCCUUGAUCAAGGAAAUUCCCUUGACAUAGAUUCGGGUACGUUGUAGGUCCUUCAAACUCAUGAUAUGCAUUGUUAGACCUCUUUCUCUCAUUUUAGCAUAUGAUUUUCAGCAUGAGUUAUUUAGUCAUGAAUCAGUCCGUGGAUUCCCUGUGCAUCACCCCAGUAUCUUAGUAAGGUGAUCUUAGUAAGGUGAGCGUUCUUAGAGGGAUAAUAGUGUCCCAAGGAGGAGAUACCCCAUUAUUCCCCAAUGCUCUCUUUCCUUAAAUUUUCUCUUCGUAUAAGGAAUCCAGUUUAGAAUAGAGGGUAAUCAUAAGUUGCCCCUUAAAGUCCCAACCUCGACUCUGGGCAAAGUAUUCAGAGGCUUAGUUCAGUUCAUGAAAUUCAGUUUACGUAUCAUAUUUGAGCCUCAGUCAUGUUCUCAGGUUCUAGUUCAUGCAUACUUCUAGCAUAAUCAUGGGGUCAUCAGUGCUUUUCAGUCACAUAACAGUUUUAUUAAACUUACUCGAUUCCCUGUUUAAAUUACCAUUACAAAAUUGGUAUUCAGUUCAUGCUCAGAUCUCCAUUACAAACUUGGUACUAAGUACUCUUGCAUAUUCAGUCAUGUAUUCAUAUAUCAGUUCAGUCAAGUAAUUAUGCAUCAGACAUGCAUUCUCACUGUGGGAUAUUCAGUUCAUCAGAAUAUCCAGGCAUGUAUUCAUGAGUCAAUUACCAGUCAUGCAUCAGGUAUGCAUAAAUUCAACUUAUUAGUCAUGCAUCAGAUAUGCACAUUCAGUAUGUUAUAUUUAGAUUUUCAGUCAUGAGAUCAUGUUUUAGUUAUUCAUAUUCAGUAUGUACGUCAUUUUCUGUUCUUCCCCUCACUCUCAGACUCAUUCGAGGACGAAUGUUCUCAAGGGGGAGAUAUUGUAAUACCCGUACUUUUUCUAGCUUGAAAAUUUUUUCCAAGAAUGUUAGAAGCUUUCUUUGAAAGAUGAAUCCACUUUUGUACACAUGGUAUUUUUAAGAUUUUCACUUUUUGUCAUUUGAGCAAUUUAAUAAGCUUUCCAUCGAUACCAAAUUCUCCCAAAUCUGACACCCGGGCGAAGAGUUAGAACCUUUUUAGUGAUACAAUGUAUCAUUUGAGCCUUCAGCGCGUCGCGGAGAUAGCUCAAAUGGCAAUUGUCAAUUUCCAGUGUUGCUCCGCGAUAGUGGCGCAUCGCGCCAAACUUCCAGGUCGUAGACAAGGUGGCAACGUGAUAGCUCCGCAUCGCUCCACCGUGCAAUUUCCCAUUUGUCACUUUCUAGUAACUUGGCGUGAUAGUGGCGCAUCGCUCCAAGGAUGAAAAUCGUAAAAUUUUCUCAGAAAUUAAAUACGUGUCCUAGGGUUAAAUACAUGUGCUAUUCCUACCAUGUGUUUGAUUAAAUGCCUAGAUGAUGGAACAAUGCUCAACUAGUAUGAUAUCAUGAAAUCCCCAUGUAUUUACAAGCUUAUGCAUAUCACAUAUUUGGUGAGGUGCUUCAAUAUAUGAAUUAUGAAUUGUGUUGUUGGUCAUGUGUUCAAGUAAGCCAUGCUAUGUCAGUUUCUUCUCAUCGAGUCCUGAGGGUACUUGUACCCGAACAUUUAGCUGUGCGCCUAGAGCCAUGUCAUGUUUUCACGAUCUUCUCAGUCAAUCUAUGAUCCAUAGAACUCCGUCAGUCAUGUGCCUCAAGAAAUCUCAGUAAUCUCAGUAGUUCAGUAAUAACAGUGAUCUCAGUACUCAGUAAUCUCAAUAACUUUAGUAUUCCCUGUUAGUCUCAGUAACUUCAGUAUUCUCAUUCAGUCCUCAAAACUCAGUACAUUCUGUCAGUCAAUGGAACUCAGUGAAUUCAGUUUAGCUUCACUAAACAAUACCACUAGUAUAAGUUUAGUUCAGUUAAUUAGUCCAGCCCUAUUAAUCAUUUCAGUGUCUUUCAAAUGGGGGUAGGAUUCAACAUCGAGCAAGCCUAGGGAUGGGGACUCACCCGCUAGAUAGGACUGAGAUCCUUAGAAGCAAUCCCUAACUUCCAGAACUAUGUAGCCAGCGUAGGUACGAGAUGUCACCUAUUAGAUAGGAUUGACAUACUCAGGGAUCACCCUUUAGCGCAUUUAAAUGUAUAGGCCUGAUCCCAGGGGUCACCCACUAGAUUAAGACUAACUCCACAGCAGUUGUCUUUACCAGUAGCGCGGUACUGACACCCUUCCAGCUGGGGUUACAGGUUGGACCCCAGUUAGCUUAGUAUGGGGCAUGUUGGUUAGAUGAAUACAUCCCACAUUUUCAGUUAUAGAAUUCAGUUAUUGAAUCUCUGCUUCAACUAUUCUAGCUAUUCCUGUGCAUUCUUGGACAAUUUCGACAAGACUUUUAUUUUUAUAGACAUUUCCAUAAUUUGAGUUGGUAAUCGUAUAGAGAGCUUGAUAAUAGAUGCUCAUAAUAUGAUUACCUGAUUUAAAUAAAUCUUUUCUUUUUAACUAAAAAUGCAAACUUAAAGCUUCGUUAAAAUUUGCAUCUUUUAAUGAUAUACAAUACUUGAGAUAAUAGGUGAAUAAUAAUUUGGUAUAAGCCAAAUUUCCUUCAACAAUACCUAAAUUCCCUUCUCUGGUGUUAAUAAAUCUUUCACCUGAAAGGUUAAUUACUAUUGGACAGUCUAUUCCUUCUUUAAAAGUGAAUUUAACCAUUAUUUGGAUUCCUUCGAGAUGAACAUAAUUCAUCUUUUUUCUAUUUUUCUCUAAAUUUUUUCUUAAAAUUUGGUCGAUCAUAGGCUUUGUUAAUAAGUUAAGCUUAUGUCUUUCAGUAGUUUGAGUGAUUUCAAUUGCUUUUUCAAUCUCUUGAUAUUCAUGAUAAAAGAUUUUAUUUCUUGAAAAUGUUCUUUGUAAUCUAUUGAGCAUACAAUCUUCUGCUCAAAGAUUGAAUUUUAAUCCUUGAUUUUUUCUUAGAAAUUCUCCAUCGAAUGUUGCUUUUAAUGCAUAUCCUCGCUGAUCUUCUUCAGCCUCUAUAACCUGAUUGGUUUCUUCUAUAUUUUCAAUUUCUUGAUUCAUUCUUCUGAAUCAGUACUAGAUUCUGAAAACUCUUCAUAGAGUUCUAUAUAAAAGUCUUCACUUUUAAUAGACGAAACUGACUCUAAGUCUGACUCAAUUUCUUCUCUAUCUAUUUUAGAUAUUUUUACUCUUUUCUUGUUACAUUCAUAACUUUUAUGGCCUUCUUCUCCACAAUUAUAGCACUUGCAUUUAUCAAUUGAUUUCUUCUUAAAAUUCUUCAUUUUUUAAAGUACAUUUUUCUAGGUACGUAAUUUUUCUUGAAAAUGUUUUUCCUUUUAAUUAAUCCUUUUAUUUUUCUUUUUCUUUUUAAAGAAUUUUUUUAUGACAUCUCCAUUGAGAUGCAGCCUCUGUGUCUUCACAGUAGAUUUGAGUACCAAUUCUUUUAGCUUUUCUUUGCAUAUUAUAUAACAUACAAAGCUGGCUAAGUCUUUGGUUAAGGAAGGAAAUCCUUCUUCCUAGAGAGUCAUGCGUUUGAUCUUCUUUCGCAUAUUCUUCUCUAAAAUAACUAGCCCAAUAUCCUGGUAGCUUUUGAUAGUAUUUUUCUACGUAUGGAGUCAUGUUUUUACUACUAUCAAAUAACUGAUAAUAGUAUGUUUCAAAUUCACAAGUAUAUUCUUGAAUAUACUUCAUUUUACAAAUUUGAUGUUUUUAUAGCCACUCUGCGGCUAGCAGUCUUUGUUUUUCUUUUCCUUUAGAAAUAUCUCCUUGGCUUCUUAAGAAUUCAACUCCUACAUAUCUCACUAUGUGAUCUAUUCCUACACGAGUUGAUUUGUUAAAAUGUUCUAUGACUUCUAUUUUGAAUACUUUUUCAGCUUUCUCUGAUAUUCUUCUAAAUCAAUUGUCUACCUUUCCAGUAAAGGUGAUUGUGGCUAUUAAGUAUCUUUCAUCACUGGUAUAAUUGCUUCCUUUCCUAGGAUAAAAAAAUAGUUCUAAAUUCUUAGCCCAUAAAUCUAGAAAUUCUCCAGGUUCUCUUUUACAAUCUAAAUCCAGAAACUGGGUAGAUCCAACGUCUCCUACUGGGAGUAUGUUUGGCAUAAAUUUAGCUUUAGAAUUUAUAUGGUAUUGACUAUUAUAGUCUUUCCAUUUCUUAUAUUUAUGUAGGAGGUUACUUCUUGGUAUUGGCUCACCGAACGAGCUUCCUUCUUCUUUAGGAUCUCUAAAGUUUCCUUGGGGUCCUCUUUUAUCCCUAUGGUUCGUGUGAACAUGGUAGUUUUGAUCAUUAAGAUCAAGUUCUUCUAGAGCAUAAACUAGUUCGUCUAGUUUAUUCAUUUUCUUUUAUUUCUGUAAGAUCUUCUAUUUUGGUUUUAGAGGUCGAGGCUUCUUCUAUAUUUUUAUCUUUAUAAAAUUUUGAGAUUUCUUCUAGUUUUUCAAGUUCUUCUCUUUGUCUUUUUUUCGAGAAAAUUAGAUAUAAUUUUUUCAUCAAGACUUCCUUUCUGAUAGAUUCCUUUGUUGGAAACUCUUGGAAUAAAGAUUUCAUCCCUAAUUUUUUUUCUUAAUUUUUUAUUAAAAGUGUCAACUUUUUCAAUAAAAUUGUUUAUUUUAGCUGGUGAGCUAUCCUUAAGGAUUUUAAUUUUUUCUUCUAUCAUAUUUAUUUUAAGGACUAUAUGUCUUUGCAUAUCUAGGAAAUCAUCUAGUUUUUCUAAGAUUUCUUUAUUACUCAUUUAAACAAACUGUGUUCUAAUUUAUACUCUAGAUGUCAAAUUUCUUGUUCUAGCUCAAAUAUGUUUUCCUUUUGAAAGAAUAAUGAUUUUUUGCAAACUCCUGCAAAUGAGUUGUAAGCAUAAUGUUCCUUUUGAAAGAUAAGUUCUUGCUUAAGUUCUGGUAAUAAUUUUAAAGCUUUUUUUAAUCCAUUGGAUAGACUAUAUUUAGGUAGUUUAAACCCAAUUUUGUUAUAAUUGGGUAGUAUAACCCCAAUUCCUCUAGACUUUAAAUGUCCUAUUAAUUUUGCUUUUAAGAUAGAUAUCACAGUAAUUAGAUGAUCUAACAUGUAAGGAUUUUCUCAUGUAUCAUUUAAUGUUUUAUAUUCUAAAUAGUUACUAUUUAGAGCUCUUUUGACUUCUCUGAAAGUCUGUAUAUUUUUAUAUGACCUUCUCAUAUUAAGAUUUAAUCAAUUUCAAUAAUUAGAUUAUUUUAGCUACUUGGCUUUGAUAUCAAUAAAAUGAGGUUGUUCGCAAACAGGGUAUGUAUGUGAAAUUUUUAUUCACUUAAUCAGUGAAAUAAUCAUCAUCAUACCAAUAGUAUGAAUCAUCAUCACUAUCCACAUAUGAAUAGUCAUAAAUGGACCAUUGUUCUUGGACAAAAUCAUUUAUAAUUUUUUCAAGAAUUCUUUCUUAUAAAUCUUUAUUUAAUUUUAUCACCUUUAAAAUAGUGAUUAAAGUUUUUUCAUCUAAUAAAAUUGUAUAAUAACUCAUUAGACAGUAUAAAGAACAAAUUUCUUUAUCAAAACCUUAUAACGUUGACACAGAUAAACCUGUUUGUUUUUUAGAUCAUGAGCUCUGUCCAGAGUGUCAAAUAAUUUUAUUUUUAAUCUAUUAAUUUCAGAAUUAUUUAAAGUAUAUAUAAAAGUUAAAUAAGAUAGAGGGUACUUUGGUAAUCAAUUAAUUUAUUCUUAGAAAGUAUACCAUACAUAUUACUUUGAAUACAACAUAUCAAACACUAAAUAAAAAAUAAUCCCAAUAUAACUAAUCUCAAUACAUAACUAAUCCCAGUAUAACUAUAUUCCCAACCAAACGACCCCUUAGGGAAUUUAUAAACCAAUUAAGUGUCUGCUUGGGAUUGCUUAUUUCCCAAAGAAAAGCACUUAUUUUGAGAAAAAAAUAUUUUUUUUAAAAAGAAGGAUGUUUGAUAAACUUAUAAAAGUGUUUUUAAAAAGAAGCAGAAAAAAACACUUUUUUAGAAAAGAAAGGUGUUUGGUAAAAUUAUAAAAAUGCUUUUAAAAAGAAGUAGAAGCAAUUUUUCUGCUUCUGCAAAGAAGCAAAAAAUUUUUGUUUUUCAAAAAAAUUAGAAAAUUACUUUUUUCAUGACUUAAAUAUCCCUCUCCCUCUCUCCCUCUCUCCCUCUCACACACACAGAGUAAUAUAAAUAUACAUACAUACGUAUAUAUAUACAUACGUACAUACGUACAUAUAUAUAUAUACACACACAUACAUAUCUUAUAAAUACGAUUAAAGUAUGAUUUAAUAUUUUAUACUUCAUAUUUACAUCAUAAUUUUUAUUUUAUUUAUAAUUUAUAUAUUAUUAUUUUAUUUUCACUCAUUUUCUUUAAAUAAAUUUUAAAAAAUCAUUGAUGAUGAUCCGAAGAAUAUAUAACUUUUCAUUUUUUAUUAUUAAUGACAACAAAUGACAGAUGAAUCACGUUACAAGAAUAAAUGAUAUUUUGGCAACACUUGUAAUUUUUUCUUGAAUAUUUAAUUUUAAAUAAAUAAUUCAUGAAAAGUGACAUAUUUGUCACCAUGUCAUUUACAUAUAUGAAGAAGGAGAUGAGCCUUCUGAUAUUCCUUCAGAAAUACAAGACAUAUUUUCUACUAGUAUGAAUAUAUUGCAUAGUAAAAUUAAAGAUGAAAUCAUUGAAAAUUUUGUGAUGUACGAAGCACUAAUUAUUUUUUCAUUAAUUUUUUCAUAAUUAAUAAUUUAAUUUAUGAAAUAAUUUUUAUAUUUAUUUUUGUUUGAUAUUUUAAAGUGAUAUUUAAAUUAUUUGAGUAAUAUAUCAUUAUUAAUAUUUUUAAUGUAUUUAUGUAUAUAAAUAUUGAUUGAAAAUUUUAGAGUACGUGUUUUUUAAUUAAAUAAAAAUAAUUUUAAUUAAAAAUAUUAUAAUAGAUAUUUAAAAUAAAUUUUCUCUAUAAAUUGAUUUAGUAAUAAAAUUUUAUUGAUACAUGUCCUUUUUGGUCAUUUGUCUCAAAAAACACUUUUUGAAAAAAAUUAUCGAAACACAAUCUGUUUAUUAAAAGGUACUUUUCAAAUGAAUUUACCAAACACAAAUUAUUUUUUUCAAAAGUACUUUUCUUAAAAGCAAUUUCAUAAAAUUACUUCUUAAAUAAGCAGUUUUGUAACAGCUAGGGGUGUACAUAAGUCGGGUUGGUUCGAUUUUUCAUUAAAAUAUAAUCAACCCAAUAAUGUCGGUUUUAUAAAUCUAUAAAUCAAAUCAAACCAGUAUACAAUCGAUUUUUUAAUUUCGAUUUUAGUCGGGUUUUUUCGAUUUUCUCGAUUUUUUACAAUUAUAAUGUGAUUGAAGGAAAAAAUUAAAUGUUUUUACUAAAAAGAUUAAAAAAAAAAAAAAAUGAUCAUAGAGUAGUUUCAAUUAAAAUUAAACUGGCAAAUUAUUAAGACGUCUAAACUACUAUCUGUCAAAGUAAUAUUAUGUGGAUACCCAGUGGUUCAAUUUCUUAGUCACUAGUCACAGUAGCUUGGCUGAAAGUUUACUUCACAUAAAAUGUGAGCAUACAAAAGAAUGAAGAAUUGGAGACAACUUAUUAAAAACUUAACUCCAUAAAGUAAUUAAUUAUAACAUAAUUCCAUAAAAAAAACAGAGAAACAAACCUAAAUCACAACUUGACGAAUUGAAUGAACAAAAUGUAAAGUGAAACAAUGAAGAGUUUUAGGUUUUUAUAUGAAAAAAAUUCAGAUAUAGGUAACUUUUAGUCCAUAAUUAUAAGACAUGGUUAAUGUUCGCAUAGUUACAAAACAUAGAUAUACCUUAAAUUCCUCUCUUUCUCUCACUCUUUCUUGCCUCUCUCCUCCUUCUCUCUCUCCUCCGAUCCAUUCCUGUCCCUCUAUUGUUCCCCCUUUCUUUCUCAUUCUUUUAUUUUUUAUAAUUUCAAGAAUUAUAUAUUUGUAUAUAAACUAUGCAAAAUGUAUAUGUACACACAAAAUAUAAAUUCUGCAAAUUGUAUAUAUACAGAUAUAUAGUUAUUUAAUAUACACUAUCAUAAUAUACAAACAUUCAGAUAUACAAUUGAAAAAAAAACAAAUGUACAUAUACAAUUAACAACUUAUACAUAUAUGACUUAUGUAAUUGAUAUAUAUGAUUUAUACAUAUACGACUUAUACAAUUAUAUCAUAUAUACAAUUAAUAUACAAUUUAUACAUAUGCGCAUAUAUAUACAUAUAUAAUUAAAAACUUAUACAUAUAUGACUUAUAUAAUUGACAUAUACAAUUGACAUAUAUGACUUAUACAAUUGACUUAUACAUAUACUACUUAUACAAUUACAUCAUAUACACAAUUAAUAUACAACUUAUACAUAUACGCAUAUAUAAUUGUCACAUAAUAUAUAAUUGAUAACAAUUUAGUUGAAUUGAGAAAAUAAUGAUUGAACUAAGUUAUCUCAAUCAAAAUUUAUGAUUGAAAGGAUUGCAAAAUAUAAAAAAUAAAAAAAAAUUAAAUCUAAUAUCAAAAAUACUGAAAAUUCCCUCAANNNNNNNNNNNNNNNNNNNNNNNNNNNNNNNNNNNNNNNNNNNNNNNNNNNNNNNNNNNNNNNNNNNNNNNNNNNNNNNNNNNNNNNNNNNNNNNNNNNNNNNNNNNNNNNNNNNNNNNNNNNNNNNNNNNNNNNNNNNNNNNNNNNNNNNNNNNNNNNNNNNNNNNNNNNNNNNNNNNNNNNNNNNNNNNNNNNNNNNNNNNNNNNNNNNNNNNNNNNNNNNNNNNNNNNNNNNNNNNNNNNNNNNNNNNNNNNNNNNNNNNNNNNNNNNNNNNNNNNNNNNNNNNNNNNNNNNNNNNNNNNNNNNNNNNNNNNNNNNNNNNNNNNNNNNNNNNNNNNNNNNNNNNNNNNNNNNNNNNNNNNNNNNNNNNNNNNNNNNNNNNNNNNNNNNNNNNNNNNNNNNNNNNNNNNNNNNNNNNNNNNNNNNNNNNNNNNNNNNNNNNNNNNNNNNNNNNNNNNNNNNNNNUAUUAUGUCGGUUGAGUUUGAUUUUAUUUUUGCUAAUACCAAACCAAAUCAAGAAUGAUCGGAUUAUUUUUGCCAACACCAAACCAAUCAAACCAAACCAUAAGUCGAUUUUUUUCCUCGAUUUGGUUUGAUUCAUCGGUUCGAUUUGACUUAAUGGUUCGGUUUGUACACCUCUAGUAACAGCAAUCCCAAACCGGCUCUAAAUGUAGAGAGAGGCUAAUGCUUCAAAUUAUCAGGUUUUAUCUUCAAAGCCUGAUUCUUAAACCAUGACAUACAAAAAAUGACUGCACAUUUAGAUUUUCCUUAUAACUUAAGACUGAACCAUAAUAACUACAACAAAGACCAAGUGCCUUGUCUAAAAAUAAACCAUGAUACACAAUGUUAUUAGACACCCCUCGAGUCAAAAGAGAACAAAGAACAAAACUAGAUGAGUAUCAACUUGAAGUUGAAAUAUGCGAAAUUAAUUAAACACAAUUUGAUCGUACAAACAAGGUUAGAGAAAUCUACGAAAAAAAGAAAUAUCAGUACUUUAAAUUAAUUCCCUCAUGCCUUUAAUGGGGGAUAUAACUUAAACGGGGACUCAACUUUGAACUUUUAUUCCAAAAAAUCGCUUAACUUUGAACUUUACUCAAAAAGUCACUCAACUUUAGAUGUUUUACUCAGAAAGUCAUCCAACACAUAUUUUUAUUAUUUUUAACUAAUUUUUGCUUAUGUGAAAUUUUUUUAAUAACCAAAAAAAUAUAAAAUAUUCAUUUAAUGACCUUUUUACCCUUUCUUUCAUUUGAUACCUACAUUUAAAUGCUUAUGUGAAUAUUUAAAUACCUACAAUACUCUUACUGCUUCACUUAGAGAAGUUUUCUUGUCUGCUACUGAAUUAGUUGCAGUGUUUUCAAGAGUUUCAACCAUUUAAUUAAUUUGUAGGUUAAAUUUUUUGAGGAGAUAUAUAAAUCAAGAAAUGAAGAUAUCAAAUGUAGGUAUCAAAUGAAAGAAAGAAAAAAUUUAUGAUAUGUGAGACAUGCCACAUCAUAGGUGUAUGAGGGUUUUAUUAUUUGACAAAUUUAUUAUGGGUUUCACUUUAUUUUAAUUUCUUCUUUUUUCCAUCUAUCAUUUACUCUUCCCAUACCUUAACUGCCCCCUCAAUCCCCCCACACCCACUCCCAAACAUAAUUUUUAUUUGAUUAAUUUUGCAAAUUUACUUUUUUUUUAAUUUGACUGCACACAUUUAAAUCACACAACAAAGCACAGCGAAAGAAUUAGUAAUGUUUUGUAAAUCAUAAUGUAAUUAAUUAAUUAAGAUAAUUAUGAAGAAGAUUAAGAAUAAAAAUAAAAAGAAAAAAAUAUAGACUUAUUUUUUUAAUUGUAAAUUUAUAUCUGAAAGAAUAAGCGUUCAUUAAAGUAACUUUUAUGUUACUUAACAUGCAAUUGAAAAUGUCUAUCAUAACUUGACCAUCUUAUUAAAAAUAUCCUUGAUAACUUAGUAAUUAUACUAAAAACAUGUAUUUUAAAUACUUGGCUAAUUUAUGAAAUUAAGAGAAAUUUAUCAUGAUUUUUCAAUAUCAGAAAAAAGGCAAUUUUUUGCGCUAAAGUAUUCACUAUACACAAGAUUCGAAGAAAGAUUUCACCAGAAGGAUGUAUUUGCACAACUUUACGUUAAAUUUAUGUCAGAUGUUAUUUCCAAGACUUGAAGCCUUGAACCCGUAACCUACUCAUCACAUGACAAUAACUUUACCAGUUGCGCCAACACUUUUCUUCUGUUUUUCUAAUACAAUUUUUAUUAUUAAAUGAUUACAUAUAAUAUUCAAAUUUAUAAAUUUAAAUUAUAAUUAAUAAGAUUAAUUUAAUAAAAUAAAUUCUUAAUAAAAAAUUGUUAAAAAAAUGUCAAGUAAAUAAGAAUUAAAAUAAGGGAGUAUUUAAAACCAAAAUCCUUAACGAAAAAACUGAUCUAAAAAUCAGACAGUAAAAAAUUUUUAAAGAAAAAAAAUAAAAGUAAAUAAAUGGAGAUAUGAGAAGGAGGAUGAGGAGUUCAAAAGUAUGCUGAAGGAUGAUUAGAUAAUACCACGUUCUUUAAAUAUAGAUAUCAAAAUGAAAGGAAGGAUAAAAAAAAAAAAAAAAAAAAAAUGUAUAUUUUAUAAUUUUUAAAUUUUAUUCUUACAAAAAACAUUUACAUAAGUAAAAAUUAAUUAAAAAAUAAUAAAAUAAGUUGGAUAACUUUUUAAAUAAAAUAUUUAAAGUUGCCUGACUUUCUAAAUAAAAUUUAAAGUUGUAAUUUUCUGAAAUAAAAUUUCAAAAUUGAGUGACUAGCUGGCUUUUAAUGUAUAAACAGAAAAGAAAACCAUGCAUUUAAUGUCUCAAGAAUCUUCAGGCGGGGCUAAAACUUAUAGAAAAUCCCAAAGAUUUAAUUUUACUCUUUGGAAGAGUAAAUUUAAAACUAGAGAAAAUUUCGAAGAGUUUGUUUAACACACCACCCCAAGGUCUCGACCUUCAACACAUGGGUAUUUUGAUUAAAAGAGAAAUGGUGAAUCGAACUAAAUGAAACAAUCACUCAAGCUAAAAUAGGACUACAGAUUAACACUAAAAGAAAACAUCAUAAAGAUGAAACAAUGAAUUUCGAGAGUGAAAUAAAAAACAACAAAAAUAUCAACUCAAGAAAUCAAACACAAAACCUAUGGCUUUCAAAAAGUCUUCUACAAUACAUAAUCCCACCAACACCACAAUUUCAUAGCUACCCUAAAGAAAUGUAAACUUAUGUACUACUAAAAGAAACAAUGACUGAAAAUCUUUAAAAUAGAGGAGGUUUUACCUUCUUUCAGGCAGCCAACCAGAACGACGAGUUGAAAACGAUACUCACCCCUUUCCUUGACUUGAGAAAAAUAAGAAAAACUAAAAACUGAACCAAAAAUACCACAACUCCAGGCUGGGGACAAAGGUCCAAAUCCUAACAGAAUAAGAGAAUUCUAGCUCUUUUUGCUAUUCAAAAAUCCUCUUGUUCUUUAGCAAAAUUCCUUACUUAUAUUGGGGUUCUUGUCUUAGAACAACCAUUAACUAUAACAAAGGAGUAAAGGGGUUUAUAUAGGAGUGAAAAUUGGAGGCUUUGGGGGUGAAAUUUUGAUGUGGGAUUAGCAAAAUUCUUCAAUUUGAUGAGUUGUAAUACGAACGAAAUAACACGAAUUUGUGAAAAAGGAUAAUGAAAAAUCGAAAAAAAUGGUGAAAAUCCGCAUAGUACAUCUGGAACCUUUCGGGUUGGUACAAAGGGCAUGCUUGGCACAUUGAAACUCGUAUGGAGAUGACGAGGAGAGGGGAAGGGAAAUUGGGGCUUGGGCUUCGUUGAUGUUGUGCUAACUGUUGCUAUUAAUGUUGGUAUGCGGCUGCCGUUGAUAUUGUUGUUGUUUGUCCAUUGUUGAUGUUGUUGUUGGUUUGGUACGCUGAAGUGGGGAAGAAAGGGGAGUUAUAAGGUAUGGGCCGAGUUGGGUACAAGAAUAAGUUUUGGGCCCGAGUUUGAUAAUGGAUGGAUGGGUUGUUGGAAUUUUGGGCAUGGGUUUGGGUAUUUGAUUAGGAUUUUAAGGGUUAGAUAUAGGCUAUUAAGGAAAUAAUCAAUCUAAUUUCAGUUGCGGCCGAAUCAAAUUACAAAUGGUGGCCAUAACUGUGCGCUUAGACUAAUUUAACCAAAACUAAAA